UUUUUUUUUUCUUUCGGUUAAUUGAGUUUUAUUCCUCCUCCAUAGUUCUCAAUUAUUAAACUUUUGUAUUUUGUUCUCUAUCACAUUGCUCCUUAUUCCUUAAUGUCAAUCUUCUCAUGCAUUUUCACAUAAUUAUUAAAUUGAAGUUCUACAAAUCAGUUUCUGGAAUUUACUAAUCGUGGAACAAACAAGUAACGAGGUCUGAAAUUUGUUUUCUUUGUAAUUGAUACUGGCAUUCUGUUUUUGGCUUGAGGAGGCUUUGGCAAUGGUUAAGUUUUUGUUUUUGGUUUCGGUUUUGUUUGAGGAGGCUUUGACAAAUUUGCAGAAGGAAAACCCAAAGGAGCAUUGCUUGUUUUGCACCUUAAUCCAUCCACCUUCUUUACAGGUAUGCCACGUUUCUUCAAUUUCUGAAUUUUAUCUCUACAAUUCGAAUUAAAAUAUUGGACAAUAUUUGAAGAUGAACAGUUGGCUAAUUAUCUUCCUAUUUGGAAAAAAAAAAAAAAAGAUAAUUAUCCUCCUAAACUGAGCGGUUAUAAUUUAAACAUGUUGACAAAAAAAGUGGCGUUUGAUGGUCAUAUGAGAAAUGUUUCAUUUGAUGCCAACAUUGUAGUUCCUCCAACCUUAACAUAUUUCCAAAUGCUAUUCAUCCAAUAGUUCUGGAAGCCAUUUUUACAUCCCCUUAACCCAUUGUUUGUUUUGUUUGGUUAUUACUUUGGUCAUGGUAUCAAUUAAUGAACGAAUCUCCUUGCAAGUUGUGCAAUACAAGCAUACUUUUGGAAAAAAAUAUAGUUGAGCCAAAAAAUAACAAAAGGAAAAACAAAUAGAGGACAUCAUUUAGUCGACAUAUAGAAAAAGAUUGCCCAUUCAUAUACUCUUAAGGGUCUUCUUCCUUUUAUUAUUUCCAUUUGGUAGAUACCAUAUCAUGCUUUAGAAUUUGAAAAAACAGAGUAAAGAUUAUGUACAUUUGAGAACUCUUUUUUAUUUAUUGUAACACAAAUAGAUUUUCUUCUAAUGAGGAAAGGGGAUCGUAUAACUUGUAAGGAUUGCAAAGUUAUACCAGGAGAGAGCGUGGCUAAUCAACAUCGCUUGUUGGUGAUGGAUGUACAUAUCAAAAGAGGGAAACAAAAGAACAAGACUUGGAAGUGCCCAAGGACUAGAUGGUGGAAUCUAAAAGAAGAAAAACAAGCCAUUUUCAAAGAGAAGGUAAUCACCCAAUGUGUGUGGGAUAGAGAGGGGGAAGCUAGCCAAAUGUGGGAUUCCAUGGCUAGUUGUAUCCGAAAAGUAGCAAAAGAGGUAUUAGGAGAGUCCAAGGGCUUUGCCCCACACCAAAAGGAAUCUUGGUGGUGGAAUGAGGAGGUACAAACAAAGGUGAAGGCUAAGAAGGAAUGUUGUAAAGCCUUAUACAAGGAGAGGACCGAUGAAAAUGGUGAAAGGUAUAGAAAAGCGAAGCAAGAGGCGAAGAAAGCGGUCAGAGAAGCUAAGUUAGCGGCUUACGACGAUAUGUAUAAACGACUAGAUACCAAAGAAGGAGAGUUGGAUAUCUAUAAACUAGCUAGAGCAAGGGAAAAGAAGACAAGGGACCUAAACCAAGUGAGGUGCAUCAAGGAUGAGGAUGGAAAGGUUCUUGCUACAGAGAACGCAGUUAAAGACAGAUGGAGAGGUUAUUUUCAUAAUCUUUUCAAUGAAGGACAUGAAAGGAGUGCUUCUUUAGGGGAGUUGAGUAACUCAGAAGAGUGUAGAAACUACUCUUUUUAUCGUCGAAUCCGGAAGGAAGAAGUGGUUGUAGCUUUGAAGAAGAUGAAGCAUAGAAAAGCAAUAGGCCCAGACGAUAUACCAAUCGAAGUGUGGAAAGUUUUGGGAGAGACAGGUAUAACAUGGCUCACUGACCUUUUCAAUAGGAUUUUGAAAACGAAGAAGAUGCCAAAUGAGUGGCGAACGAGCACUUUGGUGCCUAUCUACAAGAAUAAGGGCGACGUACAAAAUUGCAUGAACUAUAGGGGUAUUAAGUUAAUGAGUCAUACAAUGAAGCUCUGGGAGAGAGUCAUUGAGCAUAGAUUGAGGCAAGAGACACGGGUUUCGGACAACCAAUUCGGGUUCAUGCCAGGGCGCUCAACCAUGGAGGCAAUCUAUCUCUUACGAAGAUUGAUGGAAAGAUAUAGAGAUGGGAAAAAGGAUUUACACAUGGUCUUUAUAGAUUUGGAAAAAGCGUAUGAUAGGGUCCCAAAGAGACAUUCUUUGGAGGAUCUUAGAGAAGAAAGGAGUACGAGUAGCAUAUAUCCAGGCUAUAAAGGAUAUGUAUGAAGGAGCAAAGACUGCCGUAAGAACUCAUGAAGGACAAACCGAAAGCUUUCCCAUAACUGUAGGAUUACAUCAAGGCUCAUCCUUAAGUCCUUACCUUUUUGCGUUGGUAAUGGAUGAGUUAACAGGACAUAUUCAAGAUGAUAUUCCUUGGUGUAUGCUUUUUGCAGACGAUAUAGUGUUGAUAGAUGAAACUCAGGAAGGGGUAAAUGCAAAGCUUAACCUUUGGAGAGAAGUGUUGGAAUCUAAAGGUCUUCGCCUAAGCCGAUCAAAGACAGAAUAUAUGGAGUGCAAGUUCAGUGCAGAUGGAGGCCAAAACGAGUUAGGGGUGAGGAUCGGAGAUCAAGAAAUACCAAAGAGCGACCGUUUUCGUUACCUAGGAUCUAUCUUGCAAAAGAACGGAGAAUUAGAUGGAGAUCUCAACCAUAGAAUACAAGCUGGAUGGAUGAAGUGGAAGAGUGCAUCUGGCGUGUUGUGUGACCGCCGUAUGCCACUGAAGCUCAAGGGAAAAUUUUAUAGGACGGCAAUAAGGCCGGCGAUGCUGUAUGGCACAGAAUGUUGGGCGGUGAAGCAUCAACACGUACACAAAAUGGGUGUAGCGGAGAUGAGGAUGCUUCGUUGGAUGUAUGGGCACACGAGAAAUGAUAAGAUUAGGAAUGAGGAUAUCCGGGGUAAAGUAGGAGUAGCCGAAAUUGAAGGAAAGAUGAGAGAAAAUCGGUUACGGUGGUUUGGACAUGUGCAAAGAAUGCCUACUGACGCUCCGAUUAGAAGAUGCGACUAUGGGACAGGUUCAGGGCCGAAAGGGUAGAGGAAAACCUAGGAAAACUUUGGAAGAGACUCUAAGAAAAGACUUAGAGUACUUGGAUCUAACGAAGGACAUGACACAGGACCGAGCACAAUGGCGUUCUAAGAUUCAUAUAGCCGAUCCCACUCAGUGACUUGGAUUUUCCAAGUCUCCAACCGAGAAGUUUUCCUCACUCGAAAAAUUAAGGGAACACUACCCCAACCUACAUGCUCCACUCAGAAAGCUUCAACAUACAAGCUUCAACAAAAGAAAAUUCAAAGAACUUAGCGAAGAAGGCUUUGGUGUAUCUAACACAAUACGUUGAAAUGAAGGAAAACUUAUUUAUUGAUAUCCCCGAUAAGCUACAAAUAUGUACAUAUACAUGAGUCAAAAUAAACAAACAAGAUGGAGCCUUCACAAAGGUUGCUUAGGAGAAGUCUCAGCAGUCGGUAGAGCCCCAGAAAGAGAAGGCAUUGAAGGGGGAUCAUUCGGAGCCUCAGUACUGGACAGAACCCUAGAAGGAGGAGGCAUCAGAGGUUGAUCAUUUGGAGCUUCAUUACGCGGUACAGCCCCAGAAGACGAAGGCAAUAAAUGCCUUUGGAACAAACCCACAAAUCUCUGAUGAUCAAGUAAAACCUGACCAUCAGUUUCCUUCAUCUGGUCAAGCUUCCUCUUCAUGUUUGUAGCAUAGUCAUGUGCGAGCCGGUGCAACUGUUUAUUCUCAUGCUUGAGCCCUCUAAUCUCCUGUUUGAGACUCAUCACUUCGGCCGCCAAUGAUUCAACUUGGCGGGUUCGAGCAAAUAGGCGUUGGGCCAUAUUAGACACAGAACCUGCACACUGAACACUGAGAGCCAGUGAAUCCUUAACAGCUAACUCAUCAGACCGUUUGGAAAGUAGUCUGUUAUCUUUAGGAGUGAGAAGGUUCUUGGCCACCACCGCAGCGGUCAUAUCAUUCUUCAUCACGGAAUCCCCAACGGUAAGAGGACCAGUAGGGGAGACGAAGGAUGGGCGCCAUAUGUUGUCUGGAGAAGGCGGGGCUGCCUUUUCAACAAGGUUUAAGUCAAAACGACGGUCGGAGGGGCCAGACAUUUUCAAAGGUAUUGAAGAGAGAAAAGGUCGGACAAAUCAAGAUCUUAGAAGUGCAAGAAUGGAGCUUCUACUGGUGGAGAUUCAAGUGUGCUUUGGAACUUAAUGCCAGCCCCUAUAAAAAGCUGCACUCGACGGAGCUUCAGACAUCGAAGAGGCGCCUGCUCAGAAAUCGAAGAGGCGUUUGCUUUCUCAAAAGCUGGGCUGCUUAGAGACCACGAGGGUUGAUCUCAUAAAUCGAAGAGGUGUUUGCUUUCUCAAAAGUUGGGCUGCUCAAAGACCACGAAAGCCGAUCUCAGAAAUCGAAGAGGCGCUCGCUUCCUCAAAAGCUGGGCUCCUCAAAGACCACAAGGGCCGAUCUCAGAAAUCGAAGAGGCACCUACUUUUCCAGCCUUGUCAGCACCUGUCACACGCACACUUAGCUUUGCGGAAAUUAUGGGUAUUCUGUCGAAGACUUCUGGGGAAGUAGAAAACACAUGAAUCUUACUGUCCAAUCACCCACUUCUCACACGCAGCAAUAGCUCAUGGGUACCACAGAUAACUUUGCCAAAGUUCUCUGCCAAAGUUGAGCACGUGAAGCUUGCAGCUCCCACUACAUCGCUCUGACCAAGAAGGGUAAAAGAAUAGCAAAGAAACAGCACUAACAAAGUUUAGACCCAUAAAUUUUGAAGGUCUAGCUACCAUAUUAUUACCCACAAGGGUAAAGGAACAAUACCACUGUUGGAUAAUUGGAAAGUCCCUGUGUGUCAACCUCUGUGCCUCGUGGCAAGGUAGACUAGCAAACAUGCCCAACCUUUACUCACAUUCGAGAAAACACUCCCAAUAAGAUUGCUUGCUCCAAAAUCGAAGAGGCACCGUCCUCCGAAUCUCGAGAGCCAGACUCCCAACAUGACUACUUUCUCAAAAAUCGAAGAGAGGGUAAAGGAACAGUAUCAUUGCUGGAUAAUUGGAAAGUCCCUGUGUGUCAACAUCUGUGCUUCGUGGCAAGGUAGACUAGCAAACAUGCCCAACCUUUACUCACAUUCGAGAAAACACUCCCAACAAGAUUGCUUGCUCCAAAAUCGAAGAGGCACCGCCCUCCGAAUCUCGAGAGCCAGACUCCCAACAUGAUUACUUUCUCAAAAAUCGAAGAGACACUGCUCCCCGAAUCUCGAGAGCCAGACCCCCAGCAUGAUUGCUUUCUCAAAAAUCGAAGAGGCAUCAUUCUCCGAAUCAAUCGAAGAGGCGCUCGCUUUCUCAAAAGCUGGGCUGCUCAGAGACCACGAGGGCCGAUCUCAGAAAUCGAAGAGGCACAUUCUUUUCUAGCCUUGUCAGCACCUGUCACACGCACACUCAGCUUUGCGGAAAUUAUGGGCAUUCUGUCGAAGACUUCUGGUGAAGUAGAAAGCACAUGAAUCUUACUGUUCAAUCACCCACUUCCCACACGCAACAAUAGCUCAUGGGUACCACAGAUAACUUUGUCAAAGUCUCUGCCAAAGUUGAGCACGUGAAGCUUGCAGCUCCCACUACAUCGCUCUGACCAAGAAAGGUAAAAGAAUAGCAAAGAAACAGCACUAACAAAGUUUAGACACAUAAAUUUUGAAGGUCUAGCUACCAUAUUAUUACCCACAAGGGUAAAGGAACAGUACCACUGUUGGAUAAUUGGAAAGUCCCUGUGUGUCAACCUCCGUGCUUCGUGGCAAGGUAGACUAGCAAACAUGCCCAACCUUUACUCACAUCCGAGAAAACACUCCCAACAAGAUUGCUUACUCCAAAAUUGAAGAGGCACCGCCUUCCGAAUCUCGAGAGCCAGACUCCCAACAUGAUUACUCUCUCAAAAAUCGAAGAGACACUGCUCCCCGAAUCUCGAGAGCCAGACCCCCACCAUGAUUGCUUUCUCAAAAAUCGAAGAAGCAUCGUUCUCCGAAUCUCGAGAGCCAGAUACCACAUACCACUUUUUUCAAAGUGCUCUGACAGAGUUAAAACAUGUGAAGCUGGCAGCUCCCACUACCGUGCUAUGACCAAGUAGGGUAAAGGAAUAGCAUUACUACUUGUUGUUAGGGAGACUCCUAUAUAUGUCGACCUUCAUCCCCAACGGACAGGCAGACCUGCAAAAAUGCUCAACCCUUCCUCAUAUCUGAGAGGGCACUCCCAACGAAGCCUUUUGAAAUAUUCAGCUUUCUUUCCCCCCGAUAAUACCUCUGCAAACAAGCUAUACUAGAGCAAGAAUAUCUCAUAUCAUCAGGGUUAAAAGCAAGAGUAUCCCAUAUCAUGCUUUUUCCCUGUCUUUUCCUUUGGCCUUGUUUUUACCUGCAAGACAAGGAGAAAGAGAGCAAUCAGUCAGCACUUGAAAUCAAGCUCCCAGCCAGGAACUGACAGCCUGGAACCCCUUACCUGAUUACUUACCUGGUAUUGCUCUCGAGUACUCAUCUUCAACAUCUUAUGUUGCCAGGGAAGAUACCCCAUCUGCUUGAGGAACAGAUAGGGCAAGUGCGAAGGAUACAAGGAAGCAUGUGGAGACAAGCGUAACAGCACACGUGCCGAUCCAUCCAUUACUCUGUCAAAAGCAAAAGUAUCCCAUAUCAGCAGGGUCGAACGUACUCUAGAUUUGAUGGACUUGUUUUGACCCUCAAAUUCUUUAGUCGGCCUUAUACUCUGGAGGAAACCAGAAAACCCUCCAGCUCAGUUCAAGAAUAAGCCUGUGGAAAGUUACUUCUUCAAAAGCAAAAGUAUCUCAUAUCAUCUCUUCUCAUUUUUCUUCUCUUUAUCCUUCAUGCUGCUGCAAGAUGGGGAGAAGGUGAACAAUCAGCCGGAGCUCUGAUUGCUUACCUUGUCUGUCACCUCUUUCAGCAAAUCCCCUAGCUCGGCGACUUGGGGGACUCCUACUACAUGGUUUGUAUCGCGCUUGACCAAGCCUGAAACUACAAGUAAGCUUCAAGUGACAUUGAUACAUUACCUUGUGCAUCUCCACCAGUUAAAGAUACCACCCCUGGAUGGAGGAAGAGUACUUCCAGAGAAGCUGCCACAUCUACCUAUGAGACAGAUAAGGCAAGUCAAGAUGAUACCACACUCCGAAACUUAGAAGUUUCGUGAUUACGAGAUCCUUCUCCCACAAUAUUUCCUAAUGUCAUUUGUACUCUAAUGUCAUUUGUACUAAAUCAUUCACUUGUACUCACUAAAGGAGAGCUUGAACCUAUGUACUUGUGUAAACCCUUCACAAUUAAUGAGAACUCUUCUAUUCCGUGGACGUAGCCCAAUCUGGGUGAACCACGUACAUCUUGUGUUUGCUUUCCUAUCUCUAUCCAUUUAUAUACUUAUCCACACUAAUGACCGGAGCAAUUUAGCGAAGAUCACAAAAAGCGACCGUUUUCGCUACCUAGGAUCUAUCUUACAAGAGAACGGAGAAUUAGAUGGAGAUCUCAACCAUAGAAUACGAGCUGGAUGGAUGAAGUGUAAGAGUGCAUCCAGCAUGUUGUGUGACCGUCGUAGGCCACUGAAGCUCAAGGGAAAAUUUUAUAAGACGGCAAUAAGGCCAGCGAUGUUGUAUGGCACAGAAUGUUGGGCGGUGAAACAUCAACACGUACACAAAAUGGGUGUAGCAGAGAUGAGGAUGCUUCGUGGGAUGUGUGGGCACACGAGAAAGGAUAAGAUUGAGAAUGAGGAUAUCCGAGGUAAAGUAGGAGUAGCCGAAAUUGAAGGAAAGAUGAGAGAAAAUCGGUUUUGGUGAUUUGGACAUGUGCAAAGAAGGCCGACUGACGCUCCGGUUCGAAGAUGUGACUACGGGACAGAGGUUCAGGGCCGAAGGGGUAGAGGAAGACCUAGGAAAACUUUGGAAGAGACUCUAAGAAAAGGCUUAGAGUACUUGGAUCUAACGGAGGACAUGACACAAAACUGAGCGCAAUGGCGUUCUAGGAUUCAUAUAGCCGACCCCACUUAGUGUGAAAAGGCUUUGUUGUUGUUGUUGUUGUUGUGUUAAUAUCAUUGUAGACAAAAGCAUUAUAGUAUGUAGUUACUGUAAAUUCUUCUUCGAAGAGGUUCUUCUUUCUAUUGUUUAGUUUUUGGUAACAAAAGCUAAUUUAAACAGCUCCAAAUGUCAACGAAAUGCAAAGUAACAGGUUUUAUAUUUGAUAUUAUCUUUGAUUGAGCUUCUGGUCAAUCUAAUUGGAUAUGACUUUUUUUUUUCUUACUUUUUGUCAAUGUAUGUAUUUUAAAUACUACAAACAAUUUACACUUCCACUCAUAUUUUCAUUUCAAACACUUCUUUUGCAGCUAUGGAAACAAGCAUUAAUGUUGUGGUAAAUUUGAAUUGACACAGCAGUUUCAUGUGGAAUGGGAAAGUGUGACAUAUAUGUCAAAGAAAAAAAAGUAGAUAUUACGCUACGAAACCAUAUACACUAUGAACUCAUCUUUAGCAACUUUUAAUAAGAUAAACUAUUCAAAUAGAUUUGAUAGAAGUGAUUCGGAUAUGUGGUACUGUAAGGAAAAGAUGAUGGAUAUGUAUCCUUAGUCUUCAGCUUAAUGUCAUAAAUUAAUUGUUUAGUUUGUUCUCUAACACUAUUAUAUAGUUCUUACUGUAUUUUUUCCUUUCUUUAUUACUAAUCAACAUGUAGCCAUAAUCACUGCAAAAUGACACAUAAUACUGUGUAGAAAAAGAGAACAAAAAUUAGUUGAAGGCUUCAUAUAUUUUUGUCUAUUUGCAUGUAUCUGAAAUGUUGAUCACAUUAAGCUUCAUUAUUUCAAUACAUUUCUAUUUAUUUGCAUGUAUGUCAUGUGGUAGUGAUGUUGAAAACCGAAUGUGUGAAAGUGAAGUUUUAGAUAGACGUGUGGUUGAAAAGAUACAACAGAUGUUGAACAACCAUAAUCCUUUUGUUCAUACAUCUCGGGCAACGCCAAGAUUUGCCGCAUUACAAGUUGAUCCUAAAAGAGCAACCAAUAGAUCAGCGUCAGUAUAGUCUACCAUCAGCAUCACAAGUUGCAGCAAUUAUAAUAGAUGGAGAUAAUGCCACAAUUGCAAAUGGAAGGGAUAUCGUGGUGGAAACAGAUACUGGUAGACUUUCUCACGUCCGAGACUACGUUGGAUUUUAUGAUCCAUUACAAUAUCCAUUAUUGCUAUCUUACGGUACAUAUGGUUGGGAUGUUAAUAGUCGUGAUGAUGGUGGAAGAGCAAUAACAUGUUGUGACUAUUAUGCUUAUAUGUUUCAAGUUUGUGCCGAUAACAUCAUUUACUCAACCAGUAUAUAUAGAUGAAUGAUGAUUCCCAUAGUAAAAGCAAUAUAUGAAAUUGACUUUUGCAAAUAUGCCAUAAUGGAUCCUCACUUUUGCUUCAAGGUGGGCGUAUCUUGCAACAAUAUGUUGUAGAUAACUACAUUAAAAUUGAAUCACAAAAACUUAUAUGGUUGCAUUUUAAUCAAGCCACAGUUAGAGUUGAUCUCUACAAAGGACUUGAACUCUUUAAAUGCAUGUCAACACAAUGCAGGUAUAUAUAUCGUUAAAGUCAUCGUUAUUUAGGAAUAUAACUUUGUUCAAAGUUUGUACAAUAUAUAUAGCUACUAAUUGAAAAUAAAAAAUUAUCAGUAGCAUCGACAGUAGAAUUAUUUUACCAUCAUUGUUUGUUGAAAGCCCACGUGACAUAUACCAACGAUAUCAAGAUGCAAUGACUCUGGUUCAAAGAUUCGGAAAGCCAGAUUUUUUUAUUACCAUGACAUGUAACCCAAGUUGGGAAGAAAUCAAAAGCGAAUUACUCGCUGGACAAACACCACAAGAUCGUCCUGACUUACUCAUUAGAGUAUUUCGUGCAAAACUAGAGCAACUAAAAGAAGACAUUAUUGAAAAGGUGGUACUGGGCAAUGUUGUUGCUUACUCAUACAUUAUUGAGUUUCAGAAACGUGGUCUUCCACAUGUGCAUAUGUUGGUCAUGUCAGAUGAAAAUGACAAGAUCAAUAACCCCAAAUGAGUAUGACCGAAUUGUUAGAGCUGAAAUACCAAACGAAGACAUAGAGCCUUAACUUUACAAUGUGGUAUUAAAGCAUAUGAUUCAUGGCCCGUGUGAGAUUCAUAAUCCUCAAUCUCCAUGUAUGAAAAAUGGGAGUUGUAAGAGAAAGUAUCUCAAAUCAUUUGCACCAAUCACUGUUCAAGGGAAUGAUUCGUAUCCAAUUUAUCAAAGGCGAGGAAAUCGAUUGCCAGUCUCACUUGAUCGACAAGGAAACAUAAUGGUUGAUAAUAUUUGGGUCAUUCCAUAUAAUCCAUGGUUGUUGUUAAGGUAUGAUUGUCACAUUAAUGUUGAAAUUUGUUCAAGCAUAAAAAAUGUCAAGUACUUAUAAGUAUGUUUACAAAGGCCUAGACAGAGUAACAAUCAAACUACAAUUACUACAAUCAGACCUUGAAUACGAUGAAAUAAGGCAGUUUCAGGAUGCAAAAUGGGUUUGUGCACCAGAGGCAUUAUAGAAUAUAUUCAAGUUCAUUAUUAAUCGAAUUUACCCAUCUGUUGAGCAAUUGCAAAUACAUCUUCCUAAUAUGCACCAAGUUCAGUUUCGUACCGACAAGAGUAUAACAAAUAUUGUACAUGAUGAGAGUACAAGAAAGACAAUGUUGACCACACUUAAUCAUGUGGAUGCAGAAGCGCGAUGGUACUUAUACAUGAAGAUCCCAUCACACUACAGAUAGAUUCAAGCUUAAAGAAAGUCGUCUAAAAGAAUGAAUCAUAACAAGGUUAUUGGGCGAAUAUAUGCAGUUUCACAUGAUGAAGGCGAAAAAUUUUACCUUCGGAUUCUUCUUAAUCAUGUUAAAGGACCAACAUCCUUCACAAACUUGAGAACAAUUAAUGGGGUUUUGCAUCCAACAUAUAAGCAGGCAGCACAACAACGGUUGUUAGAAAUAGAUGACAGUAUUCGACAAUGUUUGCUAGAGGCCUCCACAAUUCAGAUGUCGUCAGCUUUAAGAAGAUUAUUUGCCACCAUAUUGGUAUAUUGUGCACCAAUUGGUGUUCAAGGGUUAUGGGAUGAGUUCUAUCCAUUCAUGAUAGAAGAUUAUGUUUCCACAACUAACAUAACUCUCACACUUGCUACAAACAUACUCUUGCGUGAGUUAAACGCACUUUUGGUUCAAUUUAAUAAGAGUAUAAAAGAGUUUGAUUUUCCCCAAAUGACAAGAGGAAUUAAAUCAAGUUCAGGAAUGACAAGAUGUAUUGAAGAUGAAAUAUCCAUAAGUAUUCCACAACAAGAUCUUGAUGCAAUCAAAUGCUUAAAUGAUUACCAAAGAAGUGCAUUUGACACAAUAAUGGGUGCAAUUCAACGAUCAGAGAAUGCAACAUUUUUUGUGGAUGGUCCUGGUGGAACUGGAAAAACUUACUUAUAUUGUGCAUUGUUAGCAAGCUUGAGAAGGUUGGGGCACAUAGUAUUAGCAAUAGCAUCAUCUGAAAGUAACUACAAUAUUGCCUGGUGAGAGGACAGCCCAUUCUAAAUUCAAGAUACCACUUAGUCUCAAUGCAUCAUCGAUGUGUUCAACUAGUAAGCAAUCUGAUUUAGCAAACCUAAUACAAAAGGCAAAGACAAUUAUCUGGUAUGAAGCAACAAUGAUGCAUCGUCAUGCAUUUGAAGCACUUGAUCGGACGUUCAAAGACUUAAUAGAUAUUGACUUACCAUUUAGGGGGAAGAUAAUGAUAUUUGGAGGAGACUUUCGACAAGUUCUUCCUGUUAUCCGGAAAGGUACCAAGUCCGAACUAAUCCAAAUUAGUGUCGUUAAAGCAUCAUUUUGGCCACAGGUAAAGAUUUUAAAACUCAAACAAAACAUGAGAUUCAUAAAUGAUCAUGAAUUUUUAGAAUUUUUACUUCGUGUUGGUGAUGGGAAUGAAGAUGUUAUUAUGGACAAUAUGGUAAAACUACUUGAAUGCAUGGUGAUACCAUGGGAGAGUGAGCAUUCCAUUAAUCUUUUAAUUGCUAAAAUCUUCCCUGAUUUAGAGGAUCAUAUAAAUGAUGCAACAUACAUGGUGGAAAGGGCAGUGGUAACUCCUACAAAUGAAGACGUUGAUAUGUUGAAUGAAAAGAUAAUCAAUAUGUUUCCAGAUUUAGAAGAGACAAUGUAUUCAUUUGAUUCAGUUGAGGAUAACCCAAGGAAUUUGUAUCAGCCAGAGUUCUUGAAUUCAAUUUCACUUGGUGGUUUGCCUCCGCAUAACUUAACUCUGAAAAGAGGUGCUCCAAUCAUGCUUUUAAGAAAUAUUGAUCCGAAAUUAGGAUUGUGUAAUGGUACAAGAUUAUUGUGUCGUGGUUCUUACCAAAAUCUUAUUGAUGCUGAAAUUCUAAUUGGACAAUUUGCUGGAUCCAGAGUUUUCUUACCAAGAAUUCCUCUUAAAAGUACUGAUAUUGCUGGGCUUCCAUUUGAACUUACAAGAAAGCAGUUUCCAAUGAUACUAAGUUUCUCUAUCACUAUAAACAAAUCUCAAGGUCAGACAAUACCACAUGUGGGCAUUUACCUUCCAGAUCAUGUCUUCAGUCAUGGACAAUUAUAUGUGGCUUUAUCGAUAGGGGUCUCAAAAUCAACCACAACCAUGUUAGUAAAAAAAUGGCUUCAUAGUAGGCCAAGAAGGUGUAUUUACACGGAAUGUGGUAUACAAAGAAGUCUUGCUUCAUUCCAGCUAAUUAUGGUGAUUUCUAAUAGGUAACAACUUUAUUAACGAUAACCUUUUAGUAUGCAUUUCUCACUUAUCAAUUAACUCUUUUUAUUUGAUUUUUAAUUUUCUAACUAUCGUUUGUAGAUUGGCAAUGAAAAUGUGGAGCCUCAAUCAUGAACAAAUGGGUGGAAAUUGCAACAUUGAUGUUAAUAUGUAAACUUUCUUUCCAAAAGAAACAGUGACAUAUAGACUUCAUGGGUAUUGUGAAUAAUGUACGUAUUGUGAUGUAGGUUUUAUAUUUUGACAUUUAAGUUGUUUUGUAUUUUGCUACAAGUACUAAAUGUUUUCAUCUACUCUUCUUUUCUUUUUUUUUAUUUACAUCUACUUACUAUUGUUCAUGGAUUUUAGGUAGGAACUUGCAUCCAAAAUCCCACAUUGUUUGACAAUUGCAUGAAUAACAUUUAAAUCAUUAUGUUAUGCAUAGUAAAAACGAAAAACAUGACAACUUUUUAGGACUUGCAUGGUAAAGAAAAAGUUCUUCUUUGCACAAUACAUUUAAAAUAUAUUUUGACAAUUAGAAUGAAAAAAAAUUAACUCAAUACAACUUUAGGGGCACGUAACGCCAGUGAUGCAAAAAUGCCUCUCGUGCGUGCGGAGAGGCUAGUCUUAUCUUUAAUUGCGAUCACUACAACUUUAUCUCAGAUAUCCUCAUUCUUAAUCUUGUCAUUUUUCAUGUGCCCACACAUCAAACAAAGUAUUCUCCUCUCUGCUGCACUCAUUUUUUACACGUGUUCAUACUUGACCACCCAAUAUGACUUUUCACUAAACAGAAAAUUUAAGGGAGUUUUGACAAAACACUCCUGGUACUGUUUACUUUUAACGAAAACCCAUAUUUUUACCUUUCUCUGGUACUAUUCACUACACCUUUAUUUGUCAUUUUUCAUUAAAAUUAAAGUUUUUUUUUAACUUUUCGUUAGUUUUCCUAAAAUUUAAAGCUGUGAUCAGAAUGGUGACGUGAACUUUAUCCCUAAUAAUCGUGGGGGACUUUCCUAAGUGUAUCACAUCAGGUAACCAAUGGAAAGUAUUCCUGCAAAAAUUCUACAGCAUCUUAAUCUUUGGAAUGCUUCUUCAAACAAAUACGUGCCACAAUUAGGUAAGGAAAAACAAGAUGGUGAUGUGCUACAAUUAGGCAAUGAAUUUUUUCCAACCUAUCGCUAUAAAUUUUUUCCAAUUUCUACCUAUCACUAUAAAGUUUUUCCAAUUUCUACUUCACCUUCCAAACUAUCUUAUCUUUAAUUGCGGUCACUCCCACUUUAUCUUAGAUAUCCACAUUCUUAAUAUUUUCCUUUUUUAUAUGCCCACACAUCAAACGAAGUAUUCUCCUCUCCGCUACUCAUUUUUUGCACGUGUUCGUACUUGACCACCAAAUAUGACUUUUCACUAAACAGAAAUUUUAAGAGAGUUUUAACAGUACACUCCCGAUACUGUUCACUUUUAAUGAAAAACCAUAUUUUUACCUUUUUCCGGUACUAUUCACUACACAUUUAUUUGUCAUUUUUCAUUAAAACUAAAGAUUUUUUUGAACUUUUUGUUAGUUUUUCUAAAAUUUAAAGAUGUGAUCAGAAUGGCGACGUGAACUUCAUCCCUAAUAAUCAUGGGGGACUUUCCUAAGUGUAUCACAUCAGGUAACCAGUGGAAAGGAUUCCUGCUAAAAUUCUACAGCACCUUAAUCUUUGGAAUGCUUCUUCAAACAAAUAUGUGCCACAAUUAGGUAAGGAAAAGCAAGACGGUGAUGUACUACAAUUAGGCAAUGAAGAGCAAGAUGGUAACCUAUACCUACUAUUAUGACAGGUUUUAAGUUUCAACCUAUCGUUAUAAAUUUUUUCCAAUUUCUAGUUCACCUUCCGAACCAUUGUAUCUUUAAUUUCGGUCACUCCACUUUAUUUCAGAUAUUUUCAUCCUUAAUCUUUUCCUUUUUCAUGUGCCCACACAUCAAACGAAGUAUUCUCCUCUCCGCUACACUCAUUUUUUGCACGUAUUUGUACUUGACCACCCAAUAUGACUUUUCACUAAACAGAAAAUUUAAGGGAGUUUUAACAGAACACUCUUGGUACUGUUCAAUUUUAACGAAAAAUCAUAUUUUUACCUUUCCCCGGUACUAUUCACUACACUUUUAUUUGUCUUUUUUCAUUAAAACUAAAAAAAAUUUUUUGGACUUUUCGUUACUUUUUCUAAAAUUUAAAGCUGUGAUCAGAAUGAUGACGUGAACUUCAUCCCUAAUAAUCGUGGGUGACUUUCCUAAGUGUAUCACAUCAGGUAACUAGGGGAAAGUAUUCCUGCUAAAAUUCUACAGCACCUUAAUCUUUGGAAUGCUUCUUCAAACAAAUAUGUGCCGCAAUUAGGUAAGGAAAAGCAAGACGGUAAUGUGAUACAAUUAGGCAAUGAAGAACAAGAUGGUAACCUAUACCUACUAUUAUGACAUCUUUUAAGUUUCAAUCUAUUGCUAUAAAUUUUUUCCGAUUUCUAGUUCACCUUCCUAACUGUGAAAUCCCGUCCCUGAAUUUCACUAUUGCAAAUUACGUAUGUGUAUUAAGGAGUUAUUAUAUUAAUUUUGGGAUUUGUAUUAAUUGUAGAGUGUUGAGAUUGUGUAUUCAAAAGAUAUCAUGGUGAAAAAGCUACAAUUAAAAAGUUGCCCUUAAUUAAUUAAGGAGAAAAACAAAAGAAAAAAAAAGAUUAAAGAAAAAACCAUGGGGGGUGGUUGAAAAAAAGGGGGAAAUGGAGAAAGAAAAAAAAUAAGGAAAGGAAGAGGAAUUUGGGGAGAGAAAGGAGGGAGGCUUGGCCAACGGGAAGGAGAAGGAGAAAGGAGGAGCAGCCAAUCAAAACACAGACCAAGGAGGGGAAAAGAGAAAGACCCGAGUUAGGUCGUUUUUGACCCGCGAACCUCCAUUUUUGACCUGGCCAUAUCUCCUUCAUCCGAACUCCGUUUUGGGUGAUCUUGGUGUCCAUGGAAAUCCCUUGAUGAGCCCUACAUCUUUGUAGUGUUAGAUUUCCCAAUUUCAUUCCCAUUUUUCCAGUUCGAAGGCACAAACCCACGGGUAUUCCGGCCGCUUUAUUCCUUUUUCCGGUGGCUUCGGCAAUUUCACCGUCCAUGACCACCACUAAAAGACUUCCCUCAACCCCAGGAACAAAGCCCAAGUAGUGUUGGAGGCGUCAAAGUUCGAUUGGAAGCCGAAUCAAAACACACCCUUUUCUAGGGUUUCGGCGGGUUUGAGUGAAAUUGAAGUGUUUCUCGGCCAAAUUGGACUUGGCCACAGGUAUAAAGCUUGCUCUACUCUUUGAGAUCUUCAUUUCUGUAAUUUUUGGUAAUUCUUUAAAAAUAGUUUAAUUUUCCAGCAAGUCGGGGCGGCCAACCGCCACCCGCGGCGACGCGUGUGGCGGCGACCUAGCCAGUGGGCUGACGAUGUCCUUUUAAGUUCAAUUAGAUGCCCUGAUUUCAUAAUUGAUAUCCUUAUGAUAUGGUUUGAUUGUUUGAACCUAAUUUCAUUACGAUACGUGGUUAGGUCAAAAAUAUGAUUCGAUGAUCCGACCGUUGGAUCGUCACCAAACCUUACUGCGUGAUAUAACAUAAUAUUUUUGGAUCAUAGAAACUUACGGAUCGAGAAUCCGACGUACGGAUCUUCCCUAAUUGGAUUUCUAAGUUUGUAAAAUUAAAUGUCGACCGCCACUUGAAUUUUGAAAUUGGGGGAGAUCCGACCGUCGGAUCGUGUUGAGAUUUUAGUAUGGUGUUAUUUGAGCAUAAUGUGGACUUUGGAAAGUUACGGAUCUGAAAUCCAAUGUGUGGAUCUUCCGGAUUUAAUUGUGUAGAAUUGUGGACCCUACCUUUGAUCGAAAGUUGACUUUUGAUCAACAUGUCUCGAAACGUCCUAAUUACUAAAAUUAGUACUACAGGGGACUAAGUGAAGUCUAGUGGGCCUACAUUGGUUAGAUAGCGACUUGAAUAUAUAAAAUAUGAUUAUUAUCUUAAUUUCUUAUAUUAGUAUCAUUUGAUAAUAUGAAUUGGUCUUAUAAAUAUGAUUUUUAUUGAAAUGUGAUUUUAUAUAUUUAGCCAUAGACCAAUGUUUAUUAAACAUGAUUUGGAUCGUGUACUGUUGAUGAUUGCGAUAUGUGAUUUGACUUGCAUAUUUGAAAGGUGGUUGAUUUGCAUAGAUGGUAUGAUAUGAUAAAAUGUGAGUGACUUUAAUAUAUGUGAUAUAGGUGAUUUCCCUGUUUUCAUAAUUAUUGUCCUGAGUGGAUAUGAGAUGGUUUAUGAUUAUAUUUCCUAUAAAAUGUUUAAUUUUUAUAUUUAGCCAUCGUUGUAGUUUUAUGAUGUGGGAAUUGAAGUGCAUAUUGGGAAUAUGUGUUGUUUUGUAUGAUUAGUAUGUUGUGUAUGAUUACUUUUAUGACAAUGUGAUCCUAGAAUCCUAUUAGAAGUAUGUUGUAACACUUAUAUGCUUGUGUAACAUAUUAGUUGGUGGCCAUGAGAAGUGAAUAUGGUAGGUGACUACGUUGUGAUUAUAGAGAUGAUGAGGUUUAGAUAUACCUGGUACAUUCGGUAGGUACCAUAUCCACAUGGAUUCCGUUGAGUGAUGGUCCGGAAUCGUAUCCUUAUUUGGAUUCCAUUGAGUGAUGGUCCGGAAUCCCUUCUACUCCGCGAUUCCGUUGAGUGAUGGUCCGGAAUCGUAUCCUUGUUUGGAUUCCAUUGAGUGAUGGUCCGGAAUCGUAUCACUUGACUUGGUGGUUUCUUGGAUUUGAUAUCAGCUUCAAAAAUGUAGGCUUGGCUUAACUGUGUCACUCUAGCCUUAGUUUUAAUAUAAUUGUGAGCCAUGGUUUCGAGAAUCUUGUGAAUUGAAUUAGAAAAACUAUUGGACGUCUGGGUGACUCCUUCAGGAUUUUCUAUGAUUCGAUUAUGAUUUCAUAAGUAUGAAUUUAGAAGAUAUGGUUAUGGUUGUUAUUAUUUUGGUCAAAUGACUUAAUUAAUGUGGCUAGAGAAUGGUAUUGUGCUUCGUCGGUUCUUGAUGUGAUAUAUGUUGUGAAUUGCGGUAUCAUGUUGCGAUAUAAUGAAUUAUAUAAAAGAUGGAAGGAAAAUCAUGAUUUUCAAGUGGGUUUGUUAUGUAACCUUGAGUCUAGUAAUUUCAUGCUUGUCAAGUUCUACUGAUUGACUGAGAAAUGUUAUGCCUUUCGGCUUAAACGGACUGUGAUUUAUGUCGAGUUAUAGCGAAGAAGACGAACUACGAAUGGCUUGAUCCCUAAUGAGGGUACGUAGGCAGUCUAACGAGGAGGUUAGAUGCAGCCAUAAAGUGUACGAAAAAUUAUCAUGCAUCUGGAUCUUGAAUUAUACUUGGUACAUAUGAUAAAGGCAGGGUAUGUUGAGUUACGGGCAUUUAGUGACGUCAUGUGUUGAUCUUGGAUGUAUGUCGGGAUCGGGACGUGACACUAACCAUCUUAUCUUUAAUUGCGGUCACUCCCACUUUAUCUCAGAUAUCCACAUUCUUAAUCUUUUCCUUUUUCAUGUGCCCACACAUCAAACGAAGUAUUCUCCUCUCCGCUACACUCAUUUUUUGCACGUGUUCGUACUUGACCUCCCAAGAUGACUUUUCACUAAACAGAAAAUUUAAGGGAGUUUUAACAGAACACUCCUGGUACUGUUCACUUUUAACGAAAAACCAUAUUUUUUACCUUUCCUUGGUACUAUUCACUACACCUUUAUUUGUCCUUUUUCAUUAAAACUAAAGUUUUUUUUGGACUUUUCCUUAGUUUUUCUAAAAUUUAAAGCUGUGAUCAGAAUGGUGACGUGAACUUCAUCCCUAAUAAUCGUGGGCGAUUUUCUUAAGUGUAUCACAUCAAGUAACCAGUGGAAAGUAUUCCUGCUAAAAUUCUACAGCACCUUAAUCUUUGGAAUGCUUCUUUAAACAAAUAUGUUCCACAAUUAGGUAAGGAAAAGCAAGACGAUGAUGUGCUACAAUUAGGCAAUGAAGAGCAAGAUGGUAACCUACACCUACUAUUUUGACAGCUUUAAAGUUUCAACCUACCGCUAGAAAAAAUUUCCAAUUUCUAGUUCACUUUCCGGGACCAUCCUAGGUUUGUAAUUACCAUCUCAAUUAUUGUGGUCCUGCGGCAAACAUUUUGGCUAUGUGACAGAUUUCUUCCUUUGUUAUAUACUUUCAUCAUCUAAAAGUAACUUGGCUUCUGAUUUUAUCCGUAACUAGAACAAAAAAAAUGGUGCAUUCACGUACCUGUUCUUGCAAGGUUUUCUUCAAAUUUCUUCUCCUUUUAUGCAUGGCCACAGGUCUGCAAUCUGCAACACUUUCCACUUAUAGAAAUGAAUCCGAUCACCUGGCGUUGCUAGACUUCAAGAAACGAAUUUCUCAAGAUCCUCUCCAAAUCAUGAGCUCAUGGAAUACUUCAAUCCAUUUCUGCAGUUGGGUAGGGGUUACAUGCAACCACGCCAACAAAAGAGUCAUGAUUUUGAACCUGGAAGCUCAAAAACUGGUAGGCUCCUUAUCACCUUUCAUUGGAAAUCUUACUUAUCUUACUGGAAUUAACCUGAUAAAGAACAACUUUCAUGGUGAAAUUCCUCAAGAAAUUGGCCGCCUACUGAACCUACAACAUCUCAACCUUUCUUUCAAUUCUUUCAGUGGAAAGAUUCCAAGUAAUAUAUCUCAUUGUACACAACUAAGAGUGCUCGAUCUUGUUCUCAAUGAGAUUAUUGGUUCGAUCCCAAACCAACUCAGUUCAUUGUAUCAUUUACUUGCCCUAGGUUUUUCUGCUAACAAUCUUACCGGAACUAUCCCCGCUUGGAUUGGAAACUUUUCAUCUUUGGAAAUUCUAUCGCUUGCUAUCAAUAAUUUUACCCAAUGAGCUCGGACGUCUAACAAACUUGAGAAGGUUUGUACUCUGGGGAAAUAAUUUGUCUGGUACGGUACCUGCUUCACUCUAUAAUAUAUCAUCCAUAUACUAUUUCACUGUUGCUUCAAACCAGCUGCACGGAGAGAUACCACCAGAUGUCGGCAUUACGCUUCCUAAUCUCGAAGUAUUUGCCGGUGGGGUCAACAAGUUCACCGGAACUAUUCCACUAUCAUUGGCAAAUGCUUCUAGACUUCAAGUGCUUGAUUUUGCUACAAAUGGUCUCACCGGGACACUCCCUGCUGAAAACCUUGCAACCUUGCAAAGCUUAGUUAGACUGAACUUUGAUGAAAACAGACUAGCAAGGGGGAUAACCGAUGGCAAGGAUUUUCUUGGUCUCCUCGCUAAUUGUACGAGUCUAGAGGUGUUGGGUCUUAUGGGAAAUUAUUUUGGAGGAGAAUUGCCCGGAUCAGUAGCCAACCUUUCUACGCAACUGAGAAUUCUUACUUUGGGGUCAAAUUUGAUGCAUGGCAGCAUCCCCAAUGACAUUGGAAAUCUUGUCAAUCUGACUAGUCUAGGACUGGAAGGAAACUAUUUGGGUGGUCGUGUCCCCGAUGGAAUUGGGAAGCUUCAGAAGUUACAGGGACUGCAUUUGAAUGUUAACAAAUUUUCUGGGAGAAUCCCUUCUUCUUUAGGUAACUUGACGUCAUUGACAAAGCUCUUCAUGGAAGAGAACAUGUUUCAGGGAAGCAUACCUCCAAGCCUAGGAAACUGCCAAAAGUUACUGGUACUUAAUCUUUCAAGUAACCGUCUAACCGGCAAGAUACCUAAAGAGCUUAUUGGACUUUCAUCCCUUUCAAUCUCUUUGUCCAUGUCGAACAAUUCUUUGAUUGGUUCGCUACCAUCUGAAGUGGGAAAGUUGGUAAGUCUCGGAGAGCUAGAUGUAUCUAGAAACAAGUUAACAGGUCAAAUCCCAGAAGCCUUGGGAAGUUGUACCAGUUUGGAGCGCCUUCACUUGGAAGGUAAUGAAUUUGAAGGAACAAUCCCCCUAUCUCUUAUGAAUUUAAGAGGCUUAGAAGAAAUGGAUAUUUCGCACAAUAACUUAUCUGGGCAGAUUCCUUACUUUCUUGGCAAGUUUAGAGUUCUUAAGGAACUCGAUCUUUCUCAUAAUAAUUUUGAGGGUGAAUUACCUAAAGAAGGGAUAUUCUCAAAUGCAAGUGGCAUCUUAAUUCUUGGAAACGAGAAGCUCUGUGGUGGCAUCCCACAGUUACGUCUACCUGUAUGCUCCAUCAAAAAGCCCCAUUCAUCUCGAGGACUACGAGGCCUAAAAGUGAUCAUCCCUAUAGCUUGUUCUCUUCCGUUCAUAAUUGCUCUAUCAUAUUAUAUUGCCGCUUGUUCCAUGGCGAAAAGGUCGAGAGGAAAAUCGGUUACUUCACGUCCUCAUGAAGAUUGGAAAUCAGGUUUCUCGUACUCAGAACUUGUUCAAGCAACUAACGGGUUCUCUGCGGACAAUCUGAUUGGUUCGGGAAGUUUUGGUUCUGUUUACAAAGGAGUAAUCCCUAGUAAUGGUGCAACAGUUGCUAUUAAGGUAUUCAACCUUCAACAACAAGGAGCUUCCAAGAGCUUUAUUGAUGAAUGCAAAGCUUUGAGAACUAUAAGGCAUCGUAAUCUCCUCAAGAUUGUAACUGCCUGCUCAAGUAUUGAUAAUCAGGGUAAUGACUUCAAAAGUCUAGUUAUGGAGUUCAUGGAAAAUGGAAGUCUAGACCUCUGGCUGCAUCGUGGAGACAAUGAACAACCAGAAGGUAAGAGACUGAGUAUUAUCCAAAGACUGAAUAUUGCCAUUGAUGUUGCUUCUGCCUUAGAUUAUCUACACAACCAUUGUGAGAUGUGCAUUGUUCAUUGUGAUCUAAAGCCAAGUAACGUACUUCUUGAUGAAGAUAUGGUUGCCCAUGUUGGUGACUUUGGUUUAGCAAGGUUCCUCGUUGAAGCAGCGAAUAAUCCCACGACUCCCACACCAAAUCAAACUGUCUCAGUUGGGCUAAAGGGUUCCAUAGGAUACAUUCCUCCGGGUAUUGUUUCUAAAGUCCUUGUUUUAGUAUUCCUAAUAACUUAUGUCUCUAUUGGUCAAAAAGAUUUGCUGCUUUGUUAUUUACUAGACAAAAGUAUCUUCCCAAUUUUAAAUAAGAUAUGAACUCUAAAGUUUUUCCUCAAUACAUGAACUGUAAAGUUUAAUUGACUAUGGAAUCCUAAUGUAUGUAUUGAAAUGCAGAGUAUGGCAUGGGAAGCCAAGUUUCGAUACUGGGAGAUGUUUAUAGUUAUGGGAUAUUGUUGGUCGAAAUGUUCACAGGAAAAGGUCCAACUGAUGACAUGUUCAAAGAUGGUCUAAGCAUUCACCAAUUCACUGCCAUGGCUUUGCCUGACCACGUCAAUGACGUAGUUGAGCCCUCAUUGCUCCUCGAAACAGAUGACGAGGAUGAUGACAGUGACAAAGAUGAUGCAUACGGCAAUAAAAUACAGGAAAGACCAACAGCCAGAUACAAGGAUCCCGGCCCGGACAAAGCAAAAAGAUUGGAGGAAUGCUUGAAUUCAGUGAUACAGAUUGGGAUCUCGUGCUCCGCAAUAUCACCAGGAGAGCGGAUGCUUAUGAAUGUGGUUGUCAACAAAAUGAAUGCAAUCAGAGACUCAUAUCUCAACUUAAGGACAGGUGGAAGAAGAAGAAGAUGAUGAUGAUGAUGAUGAUGGUGAUUGCAAUGUGCAACACAGGCUAAGUUUUUCUACCAAUUCCAACCUAUAUAUAGCUUUAUCUUUAUGCAAGACAUUAUAUUUGUAUUUAUGCAUGUGACAUCAUGUAAUGUUGAAUCAGUAUUUUAUCUCAAAUUUUCUCAACUGCUACUUGUUUGACACUUUAUAUAUAUAUAUAUAUAUAUUUGUCUCUUCAUAACCGAAGGGCUUCUAAUUUGGCUAGUUAAGAACAUUCACUCUUGCAUUUGAAUUCCGUAGUUCAAUUCCCCUCACCUCAUACAAGGGAAUACUUACCAGGUCAUGAGGUAGCAGCAAAGUUGCACACCACCGCAAAUAAGUGUUUCCAGUAAAAUUACUGCAAUUUGAGUUUAAAUAACAGUAAAAAUAAUCAACUCUACAGUAAGAAUUCGUGUUUGAUUUUCUUGAAAAGGAGGGAGAGAAUUUGAUCGGUCUGGGAUUAAAUUUAGCAAAAGAUCCUUAAAAGAACUUUACUAUUAUUCCACUUUUCCACCGUUCUCAUGUUUACAUCAACUGCUCUUAUUUUAUUUUAUUUGGUAAAACAUCAACUGCUCUUUCAUUCAGAAAGAAAAUUAUUUCUUUAGCCUUUUGUAUUUUCUUUAUCUACGCCUAUGAUCAGACUUUAAUCCCUUCCUUUCGGCCACUCUGUACCAAAAUAAUAAUAAUAAUUUUAUUGUAGACUUGGAUUUAGCCAAAGAGAAAUGCUAACAGGACACUCUCAAAAGUAACUGAUCUCAUACCCAAUUGUUAAUUUGUUCUCUCUAAUCUAUAGUCACCCCAAUUUAUAACUUCUCCAAUCCCAAAUACAUAACAUAUCAUAGAAUAUCAGCGUAUAGCAGAUGGCGCCAUAACACAUUGGUGGGAAACAAUCAUACUUACGCAUCAUUGUGCAUAUUCGGUCCUCACUAAUUCUCCUUCCCAUAAUGACUAACUAUUUAAUCUAACACUAUAAUUUGUCAACAAAAAAAAAUCUGCUUAAUUAUGAAAGAUUUUAUUGAUAUAUUGUUGUAUUGAUAUACCUACACUAAAAGAAUUAGAGAAUAAAGUAGUUGCAAAUUCGUUAUUCUCGAGUUUCCAAUCUAAACUCUAUUGAUAUAUUAAUAUAAGGGUGGUGAUAUCCAUACACACAUUUUUACCUUGUCCACACCUCUGUUGAUUUUUUGUCAUUUAAUCAUCUUCAAUUCAUUUAAUCUGACGACGAGAUAUGAGAGCGAUGUGUGAAAGGUAAAAAAGAGUAUGUGAAUAGCACCACUCCAAUACAAGAGGUUUUUUAAAAUAUCUCUACUAAUUAAUAAAACACUCAUUGUCAACUAAAACCCUAUGAAAUUACCAAUUUAACCAUCUAAUUAAAACAAAACAUGAAUAAGAAAUAUGGGGCAGAAAUGUAAUUUCACACAACCAAAUUUUGAUAUUUUUUUUUCAAAGCCCCACCUACAUGUAAUCAUAACAUAUCUAUAAAAUUAUAAAUAAAUAAAUAAACUCACUCCCACAUUCUCUAUCACUCUCUUCCUCUCUUCUUCUAUUUCAAAAACAAAAAUAAAAAAGUUUCUCACACACUUUGUGUGUGCCCAUAUGCUAGUAUUAAUUAUUGAAAAAGAACAAACAUGAUGACAAGGGUCCAGACAAUUGAAUAAUUAAUGAAGGAAAGAAAUCCUCUCAUGAUCUCUUCCACCAAAGCCCGCGGAUCAUCUCACAGCCCGUCCCGAAGUACAACUAUCGACGAUGUAAAAUGACGAUUUUAUCCUCGAACGUUGAAAUUGUAGUGUGUGUGUGUCAUGCUUUUGACUUAGAUGUUAUUUUCUUUGGUUGAUUGGUGAACCACGUGGAACACACACACAAACCCUCCUUCUCUCCCAUGCCUUCCCUCUCUCUCCUUACUUUUGGAUUUUUGUAGAAAACCCAUACAAACGUACAGACAAACUCCAAGCUUCCAUUUCAAGCACAGAUCGACGUCAAGAAGGUAAGAUUCAAACUCCUUGCAAGUACCUGUGUCACGCCCCGAUCCCAACAUAUGUCGCAAAUUGACACGUGGCAAAGAAAAAAAAACAUUUGUUGAAUAUGACGUAAGUCCCUAAAAGAUAAAGUACAAGAGUGAAUCAAGGGUAACCUAACGCUCCACGUCUCUGAUAACCGCACUGCUACCCCACCUACGGACUUCUCGGAGUCUACUCAAACCUAUCACCUGUAUGAUCAGUGCCUACACCAUCAGAAUGGUGCAUCGGGCAAACAUCAACUUGAUUAAGCUGUGAAGCUUGAGUGAGUGACAAUAAUACAAAGUAUGUGAUACAAUAAUAAAACCAGCCAUCAAUCACAAUUUAUAAACCUUGAAUAUAAAUCAUGCAUGAGAAAUUAAUACCAAACUUUUGCAAAUUCCGAAUGAGUCACUCAGACAUUUAACGAUUCAUCUGAAACAAUCACAACAUCUCACAACCAUAUUCUCAUACAACACAAUGAAAGAUAGGGUUAGGGCGACAUAGUUCGGCCGAAACCUACACCUUUGAAGCUAUCUCAAUCCAAACUAAAAAAAUAAAAACUCAGGUGGAUACGAUCCCGGACCAUCACUUAACGGAUCGCAGAGUAUGAAGGAUUCCAGACCAUCACUCCACGGAAUCGCAGAGUAUGAAGGAUUCCGGACCAUCUCUCAACAGAAUCAGAGUGAAAAUGAUUCUGGACAAUCACUCAACGGAAUCACGAAAGGCCAACAACCAUAAUGUAUAACGGCUCAAAGAAAUGAGACAAGCACAAGUUACUUAAUUUACAAAAACUCAACCAAGGGAAAUAAAGCACAAAUACUAAAUGUAGAACGAAUAAAUGAAGCGGGAAAUGAAACAAUAUUGAAGCAACAAUUCCCCAUCACAAUGGGUUAACGGCCCACCACUAGCCUUCACAUUUCAUUACAUCAUGCCAAUCAAACAAAUCAAACCAUAUUUCAGUUUACAUACAUCAAAUCUCAUUUCAUAACUUGAAUCAAUGGUUAAGCAUUAAAAUUAACAAUUCCAUAGAAAACAUAUAUAUAUAACCAAGUCAUAUCCACACAGGAUAACAAUUAUGAAAACAAGGUAAUCACCAAUACCACAUAUGUUAAAGUCACUCACUUAUAGUCUGCGCUAAUGCACCCUAGCACGAGAGUCAAGGCAUCACGUUUUAUCACCGCCUAAACAAGGUACAAGUCCACAUUUAGAUUUCCUUUGAUAAUUCAUAUACUUAAAAACUCUCAUAUGUCUCCCACAAAAACAUUUAAUGAGGAAUCGAACCGUCAUUCUAAGGUAGGGUCCAUGAUCUUAUGUCACUUAUUCCGUAAGAUCCAACCACUAGAUUUUCACUUGUAAGUCCCUAAGGUCCUUAAACAAUAUCUACCAUAGCAUACUAAAAUUGGAUGUAAAUUCAAUGGUAAGAUCGUCAAUUGUUAGAAUAAUCAAGUGGUGGACCUUAUCAAUAAUAUACUCAACCAACAACAUUAUCAUAAAUCGAAUGUCACACAUCGGGAAAUUCGACUUUUUCCAAAAAUUCUCAAAUUUUACAAGAAUGAAGUUCUCAACAAGUAGAGUAAACUUUAUACCUGUGGCCGAGUCCAAUUUGGCCGGGAAGGCCCUCAAAUUGGCUCGCACCCAUCGAAACCCUAAGGUGGGUGUUCUUCAAUUCGGCUUCCUUGGUGUUCCAACGCCCACCCACCAGUUGGGCCUUGUUUAUGAGUCCGAGGGAAGUUGAAUAAGGGUGAUGGUGAAUGGUGAUACUCACCGGAACGACGAAUCGCCGUCGAGAACCCUCGGGUUCUCCAAUGGAGUUCUAUCCGAAUUAGACCUAAAAAAACCCUUGAUUUUUGGUGGAGAUGGAAGGGAGAAGAUAUUUAAGCAAGUUACAGGUGAAGGAGAUAGGAAAAUCAGCUGAGAAUUGGAGGAACUUACCUGAAAAGGGCCGGUUUUGAAAAUGGUUUGGUGUGCACACGGGGUUCACCAAAUGGGGAAGAAAGAAAAAUGUCCCCUUUUUCCUUCUUAUUUUGUCUCCCCCCCCCCACCACAAAAAAAACCAUUUGAUUGUUCUUUUUUUUUUUUUUGUUUGUUAAACUAACUUAACUUUUAAUCCACAUGUGGAAAUUAAACAAUUCCCACAAUCUAUAGUUCACAACUUCAAACGUCAGUAACUAUAUUGUUAUAAUUCGGACUCGCAAACGGUUUUCGCCUAUGCGUUCGUGGGUUCGAGAUCUAUUUAAAAACACUAGUUGUAACUUCGAAAUAUCAACGAAAGAUAAAGAUUGAUUAAGAAACUUCCAACUCGAUAACUAAUCAAUUACUAAACUUAAAAUUAACGGAAUUAAAAUUAACUAAUAAAGAUAACGUAAUCGCGAAAUACGAAUUUAAAAUAUGAGAUACAUAAUGAAUGGUGAAAUUCUGGGGAUGGGCUUUCAUACCCUGAGUUCAUAUAUGCCAUUUUUAGGACCUGAAAACCUCAAAAACCCCGAGAACUCUAACCUCCGAUUUGGUGCACUGUUUAUGCACAUGUAAAUGUGAAGGUUUCAGGUGAUUUGAAGUUUGUCGGAAGCUUUAAAACAUCCCUACGAAGCUCGGAGAAGAAAAACCAAGCGAUUUGGACGUCAGGAUCGUCAGUUUCAAGCUUGGCCGGUUUUUCUUGAAAUUCUCCGGUGAGAUCCCGUGGGAUUUAGGUCCUAAAAUUGGUAUGGGUUUGUUCUACUUGUCCUAAGCUUCAUUUUGAUAUAUAAUUCGUGAAAUUUGGUUAAAAAUCGAGUGAGAUAUCAAGGUUUUAAGAUUUGCCCAGUUGCCGACGACGGUCGUCGAAGUCCUAAGGUUAGGGGUGACGGAAUAUUCCUAACAGCGUUGGUUAGUUUAAACGGAUUUCAUUACUAUUUAACGGAAUAUUCCUAACGGCGUCACUGUUGCCGUUGGUGUGCCAGGCACAUGCCCUGGCAUGGGUGGCGCGUCUGACCGUGCCUUGGCCGGUGCGUGGGUGGUAGAAAAUUUUUUCUAAAAAUAUGGGGAUGUUCGUGAGGUUGUGUAGAUCACGUUGGUAUAUUCAAACACCCCAUUUAAGCAUUGUAUGAGAAGUUAUUAGUUAGUAUUGGUUAGGUGCUUAAAAUUAACGUUUAUUCAGUUAAUUCGCAUAUAGGUGAGACUUAUCCCGAGGACAAGUGCAGUCAAUGGCGACUUGGGAGCUACGACCCUUCGACAUACCAGUGAGUGGGCUUUUGGUUUUCAGUAUAUAUUUAUAUACAUGGUAUUUUCCCAGAAAAUACGUUUAAAUGAAAGUAUGCCUUGAAUGCCAUGCAUAUAAAUUUAUAUUUUGUAUAUGAAUUGAAUUGUUUGCAUAUACAUAAUUGUGGUGUUGUGGACGCUCAGGUAAGUAUCAGAUGAGUUAUGUUUUGUUAUGAGAAUUAAUGAUUAAUGGCAUGUGAUUGAAUAACGUUGAGCUCAUGUAACUGCACCUAGGGUGAUGUGAUUUAGCCAGAUAUAUAGCACAGGCCUGUUAUUGAUGUCACCUCCUGCACCAUAUGCUCACAUUGGAUCCAAUUUAGGUGCACAGCCUUGUCGUAUAGACCAUAAUAAGUGGUUCCGACUCGUAGGUGACUAGCGAAUUAUUGCCCAGCUAUCAUGAGAGAGUAGAAUUGAGCAUAAUUAUAUUACACCCAAUCUUGUCGUACAGACCCCUUUUUAGUGGUUCCGACUUAUGUGCAGUGUAGUGCCGUAUAGGUCAUUGUAGUAACUCCGACUAGAUUGACUAUUGAGCUAAGAAUUCAACCGUACAGACUACCAUAGGGGUUCCGGCUAAUAUGUUAUAUUUUCCAUGAAUUUAUUCUCACCUGAAUUACUUAUUUUGUUAUAUCUUGGCAUGGCAUACUUAUGAUUAUGAAUAUGUGAAGCAUGAUUUGAAUUGAUAUAUUUAUAUAUAUAUAUAUAUAUAUAUAUAUAUAUAUAUUUACGCAUAUACUUAUAUUCUAAUUCUGGGAAAAUUAUACAUGUUUUACGACAAGGGAUUAGAACUGUUGAGAAAUGAAAUGGUUUUGUAAAACAUUUGUUUUUGCCCACUCACGUUUUUUUGUUUUGCGCCGCUCCAGGUUUUAGGUAAGCUUGCUGUUGGUGGCUUUGAGGACUUCGGCGGUUCUGACAUAUAAAAAAAAUAGUAGGACAUUCCUAGUACUAUAUAACUAUUACUUGUCCUACUGGACUGCACCUAGACUUAUUAUGCUCUGAUUAGGAGUAUUUACAUUUGUAUCUUACUCCCAGCACUUCCUGUUUAUUAGUGCACAUUAGUAGCUUUCGGUUUUUAUUUAUUCGUAUAAUUCUUAUCUUUAUGGCUUCCGCACUGUGCACAUGGCUAUGUUACCCUCACAUGGAGGCCAGCAUGUCUUGAUCUCGGUCGGGGUGUGUCAGAUCAAGUGAUCCAAACCCUUGAAAUUUGAUCCAACGGCUAAAGUUAUUAUAACUUUUAAAAGUGGCCUCUGUUUUCAACUGUUAGAUCAAAUUUCAAGAGCCUAAAUCACUUGAUCCGCAGGCUUUGGUGAAAGAGAUCAUUAAUGAAAACAUUGUUACUCAUCACUCUCAAGUGAUAAUGAUACACAUCACUUUAUUUAUCACCAUUUGAUAGGUUUAAAUUUUAAGAUUUGUAAAAUGAGUAGACAUAAAAUUCAAAAAUUAAAGUAAUUAAUGUAACGAGCAUUACCACCAAUGUAUUUUGAUGAUCCCUACUUUAUUGACCACUACUUAUGUAUUUGUUUAUUGCUUUCAUUGCUCCACCUGAUGAUUUUCGUGAAUCUUUAUUUUAUAAAAACAAUAUUAUUUCUGAUGCCAAUAUUUCUACUUCAGCAGCUAUAGGUUUGCACUUUUAUCGUAUAUGAAAAACGGCUUCAGUGAUGAGAAAAAUGCACCCAUAAUCAAUCGGUGGGUCGCCUAUCUACCGACAAACAAUUUAAAGAUCAAGAUUAAUAGCAGCAGUGGUACCAAGCUUUCAGAAGUUCAGAUUUCUUAUUUCUAGCAAACAAGAAUGGAGAAAAUCACAAAUUUAUAGCUGCUGCAGACUGCAAUCUGUUGAGGGCAUGACUUCAUCUUCCCCUAGCUGAUUCACAGAACAAAGCAACUCCAGUUACUAGUAUUUCAAUCAGGCACUAACUCUUCAUUUAGGUCAGUUUUUCUAUGCUCUUUGAUUAUUUCUGAUAAGUUUCAACCCAAAAUAUUUUGAUAUAUGUUCUGGCAAUUCAAUUUCGAUGCACUGUUAACAAUAGUUGUCUCUUUUUUUCUGGUUGAAAACAUCUAAUUCAUCAAUAUAAUACAUGGAUAUAUAAAAGUGUUGUGGUUAGGACUUACUACCAAUAGUUUUUCUUAGACCAAUUUGCGCAAAAGAAUAUUUGAAUGUGACUAUCACUUUGUCACAUUAUUCGAAUUAUUAACAUAUGUUUUAUAAUAUGAGUGGACGAUAUAGUUGAUAUUUUUUGCCGAUUAUGAAACUCAAUGACAAAGCUACAUAGGCACAAGGAGGUGCGGCCACCCCUCCGGUCAUUGGGAAUUGUUAUUGAGAGUGAGGGUUCCGUCCCUUCGAUCUUCUAAACCUGCCAAAAUCUAGGGUUGGUGCACUGCGCUACUGGAUUUUAAUUUUGGGUAAUACUAUGGAAACUUUAUUUGUAAACAAAAUGACAUUGAAGUUGAUGAUUGAAUUAUUACUUAAGUGUUAAUUAACGUGCUUAACUUUAUUGAUGACAUCUCAUUUAGCUUGUAAAUUUAGUCUUUAAAUUUAGUGUACUUAACGUUACUCUUUAAAUUUCUCGAAGGAUGAAGACGACAUGAUUUUGUUCAAAACUGACCUCGUAGUUUACUUUGUUUACGCUAUUGGUUACAAAACUCAUGGAAUUUUUAAUGGAACAGAAUGGUUUGGUGGGCUCCCCUAGUUUCUCUUUAAUUUUUUUUUUUAUUUUAUUACCGUGGGCUUUUUUUCCAACUGCACCAUGAUUUAGUUGAUUAAACAUUAUUUCUCAAAAAACCAGCCCACCAUUUCAAUUAUCUUCCUUCUCUCUCAUUUCUUUAAGACUAAAGAAAAACCAAAGGUUGAUCUUUGUUAUUGUUCUUUUUUAAGAACAAAGUUUGGCUGUUUAAGAAAAAGCAAGAGCUCCAGCCCUCACCUAAUAACGACUUGACAAUUGUCCUAAAAAUGUUAUAAAAAAAAAGCUUGAACAAACAACUUGGACACUUUUCAAGUUGUUAUUGAGUGAGAGUAGCCAAGAUUUGUUCCUUUUUUAUUCUUGUUAUUAUUUCUAGAGUUUAAAAUUAUUUUUUCUUAUUUUCUUUUAAUCUUGAGAGAUGUUGACUUUGAGAAUUUAUUUCAUGAUAUACAAAAGUUUUGUCAAGAAAAUGAUGUAAAUGACUUUAAGACCGUUUUCUGCUAAGAGUAUUGUCAAAACAUCAUUGCGUAACAAAAUACGAGAUAAUGAUUGAGUGAUAGCUUUGUUUACAUUUUUUGCUUUUACUGAUAAUAAGCCUAUUAUGCGACGUUUUUAUGACAUGAAACAUCACCGUCAACAAUUACAAUUUGUUUGUAUUGAUGAAUUAUGAACAACAUCAAUAUUGUCUAGUAUCUAAAAGGAUUUGAUUGUGUACAUUUUUUUGAAACCUUAUACACUUUUAAAUUUCGCCCAACCCCCGACAAUUCCUGAUUUCGCAUGACACUUCACUUUCUUGACUAGUAGGCUGUGUUAUAUGAUUUUUUAUCUGUAUUUCGAAGAGGAUGAAACAUUCGUGAAGUCAGUCAUCAUGAUCGACUACUUUGAUACCAUCUCAAAAAUAAUGGGUUUGUGGUCAAUUUUCUGUAUAUUCCUUUGUCUCUCUUAGGAGCUCUUUAUGUUACAAUCUAUACAACUAAUAUCUAAAGAUUAUAAUUUCUGCGGCUAGUAUUAACUACAUUUUCCCACUUGACAAUAUUUAUAAGUAGUAACUAAUGUUGACAAUAUCCAUGUUGGCAGAUAGCAACUAUUGUUGAUAUCAGCUGCCCUUUUUGACAAAAGCAGCACCCAGAAUCAAUCAGUGGAUCACGCUUAUCAACUGACGAACAAUUUAAAGAUCAAGAUUAAUAGCAGCAGUGGUACCAAGCUUUCAGAAAUUCAGAUUUUUUAUUUCUAGCAAACAAGAACGGAGAAAAUCACAAAUUUAUAGCUGCUGCAGACUGCAAAAUGUUGAAGGCAUGAUUUCCCCUUCCCCCAGCUGAGUAUUUCAAUCAGGCACUAACUCAUCAUUUAGGUCAGUUUUUCUAUGCUCUUUGAUUAUUUCUGAUAAGUUUCAACCAAAACAAUUUUGAUAUAUGUUCGGGCAAUUGAAUUUCGGUGCAUUGUUGACAAUUGUUUCUCUUUAAUAUAAUACAUGAAUAUAUAAAAGUGUUGUGGUUAGGACUACUAACACUAGUUUUUCUUAGAACAUUUUGCACAUUGAAUAUUUGAAUGUGACUAUCACAUCGUCACGUUGUUCAUAUUAACUAACAUACCAUAUUAAUCGUUUAUAAUACGAGUAGACGAUGUUGUUCAUAUUAACUAACAUACCAUAUUAAUCGUUUAUAAUACGAGUAGACGACAUGAUUGAUAUUUCAUGAUCUCUGUCGGCUAUGACACUUCACCUUCUUGACUAGUUCUGCCGAUGCAGGAAAUAAGCAUGUAAGUCUUAGUUGCUUCUCGACUAGAAAUCUUUUCUCCACAAUCCAAUUGAAACAAAAUGCACAUUCAUAUUCAACCAAAUCACUAUAAUCAUUUUUUGCAUCGUAGAAUAACCCUACAAUUAGUCUAAUCCUUGCGAAAUUUUCGAAAGCAAUUAGAACUGGAAAAUGAGAUCUAAAUUUUCUGUCUCACGAGUUUUCCUAACAUCGUAUAGGACGUGAAUGCUAGUCUGUCUAUGUUGAAUUCCUCUCCAUGACUCUGUCCUAAUCAUGUAUACAAACUUGGUUGCUGUUUUUUUAUCUGUAUUUCGAACAGGAUGACGCAUUCGUCUAUGCACGAUGGGAAGCAGAUUUUGUCUAAAUUCCUAUAUGGGUUCAUUCUUUUAUACAUGAGCACAGGUCUGGAAUCUGCAGCAUUGUCAAACAGUACUUUUGGAAAUGAAUCCGACAGACUGGCACUGCUAGACUUCAAGAAAAGAAUCACCGAAGAUCCCCAACAUAUCAUGAGCUCAUGGAAUGAUUCCACCCAUUUCUGUGGCUGGAGAGGUGUUACAUGCAACAAUUCCAACAAAAGAGUCCUGACAUUGAAGUUGAAUUCUCAAAAUUUGGUAGGCUCCUUAACCCCUUCUAUUGGAAACCUCACUUAUCUUACUGGGAUUAACCUUACGAGCAACGGCUUCCAUGGUGAAAUUCCUCAAGAAAUCGGUCGAUUAAGAAGCUUGGAAUAUCUCAACCUGUCUUACAAUUCCUUCGGCGGAAAAAUUCCAACCAAUAUGUCUUCUUGUACCCAACUAAAAGUGCUCAGUAUUUAUUCCAACAAGCUUACCGGGUCGAUUCCUGACCAACUCAGCUCGUUGUUGAACUUAAAUCAUCUAUGGGUUGAUGAGAACAAUCUCACCGGAACCAUCCCUUAUUGGGUAGGAAACUUCUCUUAUUUGAAAACUGUUUAUCUUGGCAGCAACAAUUUACAAGGAAUCAUACCUAAGGAAUUUAGGCGUCUAACAAGCUUGGAGAGAUUCUCACUUCAGGGGAAUAAUUUAUCUGGUCUGGUCCCUUCUUCAAUCUAUAAUAUUUCUUCCAUAUACCUUUUCGAUGUUACUGAGAACCAGCUGCAAGGAGAGAUACCACCAAAUGUCGGCAAUACUCUUCCUAAUCUCAUAGGGUUUUUCGCUGGGGCCAACAAGUUCACAGGGCGUGUUCCUGUCUCAUUUGGAAAUGCUUCUAGACUUGAGAGGCUUGAUGUGUUCAGAAAUUCUCUCACUGGGGCACUCCACGGUGAAAAUCUUGGAAGCUUACGGAGCUUAGUUUGGCUAAACUUUGAAGAAAAUAGACUAGGAAGUGGAAAACCCGGUGACUUGACUUUUCUUACUUUCUUGGCUAAUUGUACUCGUUUGGAGACUUUAGGACUUUAUGGUAAUCGUUUUGGAGGAGAACUGCCAGGAUCUAUAGCCAAUCUGUCAACCCAACUAAUUAGUCUUACUCUGGGGGGUAAUAUGAUACAUGGAGUCAUCCCUGAGGGUAUUGGAUAUCUUGUAAACUUGACAGUCCUAGUACUAGAACAUAACAAUUUUGGUGGUACUGUCCCUAAUACAAUUGGGAAGCUUCAGAAAUUAGUGGAGUUGUAUCUGAAUAGUAACAAACUUUCUGGGCCAAUUCCUUCCUCCCUGGGUAACUUGUCUGCAUUGACAAACCUCUACUUGGACUGGAAUAUGUUCGAGGGAAGCAUCCCUCCAAGUCUUGCCAACUGCCAAUUUCUACUGAUACUUUACCUUUCUCAUAACAAUCUAUCUGGUUCCAUACCUAAACAGCUGCUUGCGCUUUCAUCCCUUUCCAUGUCUUUGAACAUGUCUCACAAUUCUUUGACUGGUUCACUACCAUCCGAAGUGGGUGAUUUGGUAAAUCUCGCAGAGCUAGAUGUAUCAGAAAACAAGUUAUCAGGUGAAAUCCCACAAACUCUAGGUAGUUGUAUAAUGUUGGUGCGCCUGCAUUUAGAAGGUAACAAAUUUGAGGGAAUAAUUCCUCAAUCUCUUAAAAAUUUAAGAAGCUUGGAAGAGAUAGAUGUUUCGGGCAAUAACUUAUCUGGGCAGCUUCCUGAAUUUCUAGGCAAGUUUACACUACUUGAGAAACUUAAUCUUUCUCAUAAUAAUUUUGAGGGUGAAUUACCUAAAGAAGGGAUAUUUUUUAACGCAAGUGGCGUGUCAGUUCUUGGAAAUGAUAGGCUCUGUGGUGGCAUCCCACAAUUGCAUCUGCCUGCAUGCUCCCACAAAAAGCCCCAUUCAACUCGAGGACUACUUGCCCUGAAAGUAGUCAUCCCUAUAGCUUCUUCUCUUGCACUCAUAAUUGCUCUAUCAUGCUUUAUUGCUGCUUGUUCAAUGGUGAAAAGGUCAAGACGCAAACCUGUGACUUUACGUUCUUAUGAGGACUGGAAAUCAGGUCUCUCGUACUCUGAACUCUUUGAAUCAACUAAUGGUUUCUCUAUAGACAAUCUGAUUGGUUCGGGAAGUUUUGGUUCUGUUUACAAAGGAGUACUAUCAAGUGAUGUAGCAAUAGUUGCCGUUAAGGUAUUGAACCUUCAACAACCAGGAGCUUCCAAGAGUUUUAUUGAUGAAUGCAAAACUUUGAAAAGUAUAAGGCACCGUAAUCUCCUCAAGAUCAUAACUGCAUGCUCAAGCAUUGACAAUCAAGGUAAUGACUUCAAAAGUCUAGUUUUUGAGUUCAUGGAAAAUGGAAGUCUAGAUCCGUGGAUUCAUCCCAAAGGUGAUGAGCAAUCUCAAACAAAGAGAAAAUUGAGCCUUACCGAAAGACUAGAUAUUGCAAUUGAUGUUGCUUCUGCAUUAGAUUAUCUACACUACCAAUGUGAAACGCCUAUUGUUCACUGUGAUCUAAAGCCAAGCAAUGUGCUUCUUGAUGAAGACAUGGUAGCCCAUGUUGGUGACUUUGGAUUAGCAAGGUUCCUUUUGGAAGCUUCAAAUUCGAACAAUCUUGCCGCAAGUCAAACAAUGUCAGCAGGUCUAAAGGGUUCCAUAGGCUACAUUCCUCCAGGUAUGAGUUUCUAUCAUUUUCUUUAUUGAGCCAACUCUGAAACAAGAACUAAAUCCAAAAGGUCAUUUGACCAUGGCAUUCUUUUGUGUAUUCAUUGGCAGAGUAUGGCAUGGCAGGCCAAGUUUCUAUACUUGGAGAUACUUAUAGCUACGGGAUACUGCUACUAGAAAUGUUCACAGGAAAAAGCCCUACUGAUGAUGUGUUUAUAGAUGGUCAAAGCAUUCACCGUUUCACAGCCAUGGCGUUGCCAGACCAUGUCAUGGACGUUGUUGACCGUUCAUUGCUCCUUGAAAUAUAUGAUCCGGAUGCUGAUGAUGAAGAAUACAACAAUGAAAUACAAGAAGGACCAAUUACAAAAUAUCAAGAUCGGAGCUCAGCCCAAGCGAAAAGAUUAGAGGAGUGCUUGGUUUCUGUGAUGGAAAUAGGGCUCGCAUGCUCUUCAAUAUCGCCCGCAGAGCGGAUGCCAAUGAAUGUUGUUGUUAACAAACUGAAGUCAAUUAGAGAAUCAUACCUCAAUCGAAGACGAACACGCUACUGAUGCUCAAGCAAGUAUGUUGCCUAAUUUAAACAUGUAUCCCCAUAUAUCAGCAAGCUAGUAUUCCACCGUUCGUUAUACGUCAGCUCUAAUUUUCUUUCGAUAUGUCUUUUAAUUUAAAACCAAUCUGCUUCGCAUUAGAAGGCAUUGCUCUCGUGUGUUUUUUUGUUUCUUCUCUUGCUUUGUACAUUACACGUUUAUAUAUUCAGUUCAAGCAGACGAUGUGAGCUUCUGAAUUUUUAUGUCUAUCUUUUGUAAACAUAUUCGUUAGUUGGUCCCAAGCUCGAUCUUCCUUCGCCACUGAAUAUAUCGCUUGUUAACUUUCUGUAAACCUCAAAAUCAGUUACAACUUUCCAUUCAAAAUUGCUUCUUUCGGUAUUGAAUUCCCGAAUAUUUGAGACAUUUGGAUUAUGAUGGUAGAGUCUAGCCCAUACUAUUUAUUCAAGAUUUAGAAAUUUAGAGUCUGUUUGGUAUUCUACUUGAAUCCAACUUUUAAACUCAAAAAUAAUUUUCAAGUUUUAUGCCUUAAAAACUUGUUUGGUAGGACUAUUUUCAAAAACUGAACUCAAGACUAACUUAAAAAUAUAGUCUAUUAUCUAAAAACAUAAAAAGUGAGUUUUUAGAGUUUUUAAACUUAAACUCACUCAUUUCUUUUCUCUCUCUUCUCCCCUCUCACUCCAAAUCUAUCUCUCUUUUCUUCUUCUCUUUAUUUUUUUUACACAUUUUUCGUCUCUCAUCCAAUCUGCUCUCUUCAUUCUCUCGGUUCUUUCUCUCACUUAUCUUCCUCUCUAUCUCGUCUGAUCCUCUCUCUUCUUUCUCUUUCCUUCAAUUAUCCCUUCCUUUCUUUCCUCCUCUUCUUAGACCUUUUUGUCUAGUUUAAGUCAUAAGAUUUAAAAAAUUUAAAUCGCAAACCAAUCAAAUUUUUAAGUCUUAAAAAAAGUUGUUUUCAAGAAAUGUUCUUAAGAAAUGUUUUGAGAAAUGAUAAAAAAUUUCAAAUAGAAUACCAAACAGGCCCUUAGUCACUCGAAGCCCCUCGAGCGUGAAACCCUGUCUAGAACUCCAAAGAAAUGCGCAAAUUCUUUAUUACUAUGCUUAUUUCAUUUCUUGCACGCACCCUUGUUUUCUCCUUCAAUAAAGUUCUCUGUAACUUACGUCACAUUCAUUUCAUGUUUUGAUACGACCUAGUAUCUACUAAUGGGAACGAUUAUAUGACAGAUUGUCUAACAAAGAUACUUAUGCUAUGUUUAAUCAUAUUUAUUCUUGCACGCACCCUCUUUGGAUAUGCGUUUUUUAGGCAUGUAGUAGUUUUGAUAUAUAUUUUUCUAAAAUUGUCAAAAAUAACUCAUAGAGUUACGAAUUCUCACAUCAUUGACCUUCCACCGCCAAGUUAUACUUUAUUAUUUGGGUGUAGUAUUGAAAUUUCUCAUCUUUUGCACCAAUGGACGUCGUACUAUGUUGAAUAAUAAAUCUCAUUUGAUUGAUGAUAGUUAAUUUUUUGUGUUAGAUGGAUGGAGGGGUCAUCGGUGUAAUAGCCUAUAACUUUAAAAAAAUAUUUUUGGUUUGUCAAAAAAAAAAAUCUUAAAAGGAUGUCACGUGCUAUACAUACGUUGGAAGUUAAAUUGUAGAGAAAAUAAAAAGAUAUUGACUGAGAGGAUUGAUUGAAAUUUCUGAAAAAGACAAAGUGGGAACCAAUCAACCCCUCACUCGACAUAUUUCAUAUUUUUCUUUUUAGGUCAUAUCAAAACCUUACACUUAAAAAUAAAGAAAACCAAAGUUUAAUUGAACCCUUUUCUUAUUUCCUUUGCUGGAGGGGGUUGAUUUGGGCAUACCAUUUUCUCCGUAACAAACACGUGCUAGCAAGCUAGUAGUGGGCUUUAUCAAGAUUUCAUAUCUAAUGGGUUUUGUGUAUUAUAGGCCCAAAAGGCUCUUCUAGCCAUCUAAAGUAGGUUUUUAAGCCAAAAUUCUCCCUGAGAUUUACAUAAUUCCUCAUUUUCGUUCUUGAGAUUUGAAAUCAAUAGAAUUGGUCUCUGAGUUUGUCCAUCAUCAAUCAUAUUGGUCCUUCAUUGAAAAAUCUUCAUUAAAUAAGAAUGGAAUGAUCGAAAUACUCUUAAUUUUUAUCAAAUCAUUUUGGCAUUGUUUAUUAAAUUGAGGGUAUAUUUGUUAUUUUGAUCCUUAUUUAAUAUAAUUUUGCACGAAAUAACCAAAAUGAUUGAUGGUGAACAAUCUCAUGAACCACUUAUAUUGAUUUCAAAUCUCAGGGGCCAAACGUAUUAUGUCAAUCUCAUAGAUCAUUUUGGCUAAAAAGCCAAAGAAAAUUAUAGGCACUUUCUCACGAAGUUUUCUUUAGUGUACAUCAAAAGUGCAAAUUUAUGUUGCACAUGUGAGCAACUAAAUUGUUUGAUCUAAUUAAAUUUAACGACUCUUAUUUAUAUAUAUAAUUUAGAUGCGCACUUUUCAUGUGCGAGAAAAUUCAACUUUCUGGCUUGAUUGAGUAAUUGACUGGGGAAAGUUGCCUUAACUGGAGGCAAAGAAUGCAAGUGAACGUGUCUAAAAUCCGAUCCAAAAGUCAUUCAGUACUACGGUCUGGUGGUAUUUCUCUUCACUUGGAAGUGAGAGGUCUUAAGUUUGAAUCUCGUGGAUGGCGAACUCGAUACCAAAUUAGGCUACCUAUUGUGUGACUUAACCGAAUUCUUCAUCUCCUUAGUAUAAAAAUAUUGACGUACUAAAAAAGUAAAAAAAAUUCCGACCCAAAAAUCAAAUAAUAUUUUCAGCCAACCCAACCCAACCCAAGACCAGGUCCAGCUAACUAGUAUUUUCAUUUUCCUCGGGUCGAUGACAACCCGGUAGCCCAGGCGGAAACCAAGGCCUAUGGCCCAUUUACCAUGAAAUUUUGCAAAGUUUUUAACAUUUAUAAAUUACCAAUAAAUGACCAUCAGCUGGGUCACGGACUCACGUGACACAAUAACUGUCCAAAGAGUAACUCCACUACAACUAUUUUUAAAUAAAUAAAUUUCCAAAAUUUUAUGUGAUCAAGUGAAGACUUGUAGACUUCACUUGUACCCAUGAGGGGUAAGCGAUGAGUUUUGGGGUUUUCUUCUUUAUCAAGGACAUUUAAAUAUUGCGAGGCCGAGAUAUCUCAAAAAUAUUAAAUAAUAAUAACUGUUUAUGAGAAGAUGGAGGGUACUCAAAAUAGACUGAACUAGAAGGACGAGAGAGGCUCAUGUUGGCCAAGUCAAUAGCAACAAAAUCCAUCUCACAAUAAGUACACGCCUAAUAUUAUAUGGUAAAUUACAUAAAAUUACCUCAACUAUUGGGUCACAAUUUCAUCCCCCUUCUUUAAAAAAUUUCAAUGUCAUACCUUAUCUUCGAAUUUGUUGCAAUGUCAUAUCUUCCGUCAGUUGUCUAUCAAUUCCUCUGUUAAAUGCUGACGUGGUUUGAGGCGGGGCUCAAUUUCUAUUAAAAAAUAAUAAUUUACCCUUAAAAAAAAACAAAAAAAACCAAACACCCAUCUUCCCUGACCCCUUCCCUUUCCCUGCAACCCAAAUGCAAAACCCAUAUCCCUUCCCCUUCCCUUUCCCUGCAAUCCCCGACCUCUUCCCCACACCCACAUCAACAUUUCCCCCCCCCCAGACCCACCUCCUAUUUCUCUGCCGCCCACCCCUCUCCCCAAAAUGGACCGACCCAGAUUCGUAAUCGAAGCCUCCCAUGCCGAAUCAAUGGCCAAGCAGUCCAACCUCACCGUCUUCCAGCUUUUCCCCUCUUUCGUCAAGUCCGCCCAGGCCCUCACUCGCCCCCCAUCUCCAAAUUCCACGUAGAAGCCUUCGGGUAUGAUUCAUCAGGUCGGAUCUUCCUCGGCAUCAACCUCGAGUUCUCGAGUCUCCCCCUCCACUACUCGGUCCACGUCGAGCAGUUCCUCGUCACCAACCUCUCAAUCCAAUUGAAAGAGGUGGGUCUGGGGGGGAGACGUUGGCGUGGGUAGGGAAGGGGUCGGGGGUUGCAGGGAAGGGGAAGGGGAAGAGGAAGGGAUCUGGGUUUUGGAUUUGGGUUGCAGGGAAAGGGAAGGGGUCGGGGAAGAUGGGUGUUUGGGUUUUUUUUUUUAAAGGGUAAAUUAUUAUUUUUUUAUUAUUUUAUUAUUUUAUUAAUAGAAAGUAGGCCCCGCCUCAAGCCACGUCAACAUUUAACAGAGAAAUUGACAGAAAAUUGUCGGAAGAUAUGACAUUACAACAAAUUCAAAGAUAAGGUAUGACAUUUAAAUUUUUAAAGAAGGGGUAUGAAACUGUGACUGACUUAAUAAUUUGGGUAAUUUUAUGUAAUUGACCCAAUAUUACCUGUGACGUUAUUUUGUAAUUUUCCUUUUGUCGGGUUAUUAUCCCAUUUACUUAUAAAAAAAAUAUUGAUCGAUGGUAAGUCUUGUAUUUGUUAAGUAAAAGUUAUCAUUUAUCCAUGUUAUUAUUCUAACAAGUUACUUUUUAUAGAUCGAGAGACGUAAUCUGAGCUUAGGAUCUUUCUCAAUAUCAUAAAAAGAAGUACCACUAAAAUAAGAGCUACUUGAUGUUUUAACAACCUUCAACAUCGAAAGAGAGAAUCGAACUUGCUAUCAAAGUUAAGCAAUAUGGAUCUAGAUUUGCUACUUAGCAUAGCUUAGAGGGUGUUGGAUAGAGGAAUUAGCUUCUCACGACUAAUUACAUAAUACUAGCGCCAACUUGCAUUUACCUAUAUAUAAGAUAGCAAGUGUAGAGUUUUAUCACAAACUGUCUCGGUACAAUGCACAAUAUAAUAAAGAUCUUCAUCAACAGGGCGACAAGACCAUUGGCACAUUACGGUUUCUUUCAACUAUCAAGUAAUACCUCCCAAUCACUGUCAAAUUUUGCAACCAAGGCUUAUCAUGUCUUUCUAUCAACCAGCAAGUAACUGAAAAAUCCACAAUUUUUGUCAUAUGAAAGUUGGAUUAAUGCAAUGAGUCGAACGACGUACUAAUCUCUCAAUGGUAAAAUAUUCAAUCCAACACUUGAUAGGCAUUAGACAUUUUCCUUUUUUGUUACAACAAUCAGACAGAGUCGACUGUGAUCUACUCUACCUUUGAUUCAUCAGCCACAAAUAUUCACAAGGCUCCUCUAAAGAAUGCAAACCUAAUGACGUGUUUAUGAAACCGGAAUGGAAUAGGAAGAAACUGAAUUGCACUUUUUGAAGCAUUCAUGCGCUUACCAACAUUUUAGUAACAAAUAAAAAAAGGUGGGAUCCACUCAAAAUCAAGAAUUGAAUUCCUAAAUCUCUUAGAAUUCGAUCGCCUUCAAGGAGGUGGUAUCCGGAUUCCAAAGAGAAGCCUCUUUUAGGAAUCCAAAUUUUCUACCUGAACUAUCCCUGCAACUUCUACCUUUCAGUCGAGUCAGCCGACUCCCUUGAACAUUCACCAGCUCAAUCUCAUCCAUCAUCGAUGGGUUUCAAAGCUGAAGUUUGUGAAGCAUAGGUUGUUGUUAGCAAAAAUUAGAUUUAGAACUUGUUUGGUGCACAUCUAGCGAAGACCAGAUAUAAAACUCGUUCAAUGUGCAUCCAGCAUUCCAAAUUCAACCAAAAUGUUUAAAUUAUUAGUAAUGAUAGAUGAGUGAAAGUUACUAGUUACUGGUUCAGCUUAAACCUAUUUAGGCACACCAACGUAACGUUUGCCACUUUUUUAGUGCUUACCAUUUGACACUAAAACAAUUUAAGGGUUGAGAUUGUCCGAUCUGAAAAAGCAGUCAUCACGGAGUAUAUGAUGCUCAAACAGUUAAAAAACAGUUGGUUGGGGUUGCAAAGCAAGAUUCGAUUCAAUUCAACCCAAAUUACCGAUGACGUGUCCCCAAGCUACACGUGGCAACAGAUCCGAUCCUUUAUCUCCCUACGGGGACCACACCGCUAUAUAUACCACUAGAACUGGAGUGCUCAUUAGAUAAAAAGUGACAGAGACCCCCACUAGCAAACAAUCCAAUACUCUCUCUCUCUCUGGAAAUCCAGAAAGCAACAAACUUUGAAGGCAACUCGGGAGGGUUGAUUCAGUGAGUCAGUGACCGAGUCAUGAGGACCCUGUCGAGUCCGAGUUCGAGGGUGGCGGCAGAGAAGAAGUGGGUCGGCGGAGAAAAUGUCUUUCUCCACAAGCUUGAACCUUGCUUCCUCAGGCCAAAGAGAAGCAGCGAGAAUUUCCGGUUCUUGAAUUUGGUGUGUUUUCUGAAACAGAGCAAGCCCAUCAGACCAGUCAUUUGCCUCUCGUCAAAAACCCAGGUGGAAUCUUUUUUUCGAUUUUCUGAAAACUUUUCGUAAUUGUUAUUUCAUUUCUUUGUUUUUUGAAAUUUUGAUGAAAUUCCCAUUUUUGUUUUCUCUGUUUUAAAAAUUUCUAGAAUAUGAUGUUGUUCUUGCUUUUUUGUGAUCAUUCUUUUCUUUGGGUUGCCAAGAAAGUUUGGAAUCGUGCUUUUUUGGGUUGGGAAAGUUUGGAAUCUUGCUUUUUUGGGCUGGGGCUAGAUUCUUAUUUUUUGUUUUUGUUUUUUGUAUGUUUAUUUAUUAUGGAGUAGAUUAUUAAUUGGCAGCUUUAUGAUGCAUUGAUUAUAUAAUCAUUUUAUUUUUUUAAUUUAUUUUUAAUCUUGUUCUUGAAGCAUUUUGUAUCAGAGAAUCAAUCAUGCAGUGUAAUCGGAUGUACAAUAUAUACAUAUACAUAUAUAUAGGUAUCUAUGUAUAUGUAUAUUAUAAUGUAUAUGUGAAUAUAUAUGUGUAUGUAUAUAUAUUAUAUAUACACAAAGCAAAAUGAUUGUCUAAGAUUUAUGAUCAGUCUAAUAAUUUGUUUUCAUUCUUUGGGAAUGUUGCCAUUUAAAAUAUUUCUUUGAAGAAAUUGUUUCCAUAUCAGAGAGUGUGAAUGGUGAUUAAGUAAUUAGAGAAUACCUUGCACUGAGAUAAUCAAUCUGAUUUCUGAGCACUCUCUUUGCAGACAGAAUUGGAGGUUGCAGAUUCUCAAAUGCAGGAAGCAUGUAAGUUCUUGCCUUUUCUUUUAAAAUAAUAUAUAUAUAUAUAUAUAUAUAUGUGUGUGUGUGUGUGUGUGUGUGUGUAUUUAUGUAUGUAUAUAUGAGCAUAUUAAUCUUACUGACAAUGCCAUGUUGUGCAGAUCAUACAAAAACUAUCCAUGUGAAAUUCCAGUUGCAGAAAGAGUGCUCGUUCGGUCAGGAGUUCCUCAUUGUGGGGGAUGAUCCUAUGUUCGGUUUGUGGGAUCCUGCAAGCGCAAUACCGAUGAACUGGUCAGAUGGGAAUGUGUGGACUGUUGAGAUGGUGAGUGAAAUCUACUAACAAGUGCAAUUUUUUUGUUAGGUGAAUACCGGAUUUGUAGUUUAAUGUAAGUCUUUGUGUUUGAUUAGGAUAUACCAGUUGGGAAAUCGAUUCAGUUCAAGUUCAUACUAAAAGAAAGCACAGGGAAUAUCUCGUGGCAGCCUGGCCCUGAUCGGAUUUUCCAGACCUGGGAAACUAAGAAUGCGAUCACUGUUUGUGAAGACUGGGCAGAUGCUGAGCUUCAGAAAAUAAUAGAGGAAGAUCAUGUUUCAGAUGAAGGCGAUGGUUCCAAUGUUAAUGCAGAUAUGUUGAUUGUGGAUGAGAACCUGACACAGCCGAAUGAUGAACUGGCCUUCAAUAUAACCAAUGAACCUACGAUCACCAGUAGUAACACUGAUCCGGCAGAGAAGCCAUUAGUGGAACCAUGGAAGGAACAAAUUGGUGCCAGAAAUGGUUCUCCUUCACAAGAGAAUGUGACCCCUAAAUGGCCAAAUGCAUACGUGGAACCAUAUGAGGAACAAUUUGCUGCAAGAGCUGCAGUGCUUAAUGAAGAGAGAGUUAUUUUUCCGAGUGAGGAUUGUGCAGCCAUCUCAAGUAAGGAGUUGUUGGUGGCAGACAACAUUUUCGGAAAUAAUGGUGGAGCUGCAACAGUUGAACCUUUCAAGCACUCAAAUCGGGGGAAGUCUAAUUAACUACGAAGAAGGUCCUGUUCUGGUACCUGGGCUGACUCCUUCACCAGCUGUUCCAACUGAAGAAGUGAACAAAGAGGGCAUCGACAAACAGAUGUCUUUUGAUGGUUCGGUUGGAGCCUUUGAAGCUAAGGAUCGUAAUAUGCCAGAGGUAACUGCUUGAUGAGAGUGACGUAUCUUUUAUCUUUUUCUGUUUCUUCUUGUACUGCAUUUACCUCAUCCCUGAAAUAACAAUCCAUUCCUUUUCCGUAAAACUGCAAGUUGUCCAGGGCUAUAGGAGAGAUUCUUUACUACUAGCUAGUUUUUGGUUUCAUCUUGUAUGUUGUUGGAAUCUAUGUUUUCCUUGAAGAGAAGUUCAUGAUGAUGAUGUAUGGCAAGGCAAUUAUUUAAUUUCAUCGAAAUUGAGCAAUUGUCCAUAAAUUCUCAUGAAGAAAAGUUCAUGUUUUUAUCUUACAAUCAUUAACCAACAAAGUAGACCAUCUUCGCACAAUAUCAUUGCAGUGUAAUUAACGUUGUAAAUAUAAAUCCCGGGCCAAGUAUUCUCCUAUUGCAAAUCGAAACUGCGCUGUCUGAUUCAAAUUGAAACUAUUAACACUCUGGAAUAUGACACCGAAUUCUCUAUCAAGCAUUUCGUUUAUAUAUUUUGUUUCUGCUGGCAAUUCAUGAGCAUUUCCAUAUGGUCAACUAUUCAUAUGUAGAGGGACCCUAUUCCUAAAAACAUAUGAAAGAGUUCAUAUAAUCAUAAUUAUGAUCAAAGUUAGACUGCCGAUGCGUAAGGCGAUGUAUUGUUGCCGAACAGCAGUAUUUGAUAUAGAUGUUCUUCUCCCUUGAUUAUGCUAUUAUUGAUGUUCUCCUUUCUGUUAUCUUUUCAUGCCCUCAAACAAAUGGUUUCAGCUAGAAGUGAAGCAAGAACAGUACAGUGACCUACCUCAAGAAGUAACAAAUGUAAUGAUCAACGCUAAUGGGGGGAAUUUUGACGAUGAAAUCAAGCAAACGCCUCACCCUGCAAAUAAGGAAGAACAGUUCCACUCAGAGCCAGUCAAUGAUAAGGUCUUGUGCAGUGACCAACCUCAAGUGGAAACAGCUGCCGCAAUCAAUGAUAACGAAGAGAAUUCUGCUAAAAAGGAGGAACAGUCCGACUCAGAGCCAAUCAACGAGGUCUUUCAGAAUGAUGUGCAAUGGGGUCGUAAGAUGCUGCAGAACCUUCUGUCUAACUUCAGAUUGCUAUAGCAUGCACAUUGCCGAUAACCUGGGAAGAAAUUUAGGGAAUUCAUUUGAGCCCGUAACUCUCCUGCUUUGUUGCUGAUGUUUUCUGGUAGCCUACAAAGAGUAGAGAGAGGCAAUCUUAUAAGCAAACUGUUAUAUGUGCAUAUGAUAUGAACAUAGUUGCUGAGAGAGUAUUGCCACUUUCCUGUGCUGUAAGAGUACUCAGGUUUUUGUUUCUUUUAGUUUGUCAUGUAAAUAUUUGUACCGGAUACAAAGUUCUGUAAAGCUUCCUCACAAUGCUGAUUUUGGUAAGGAUUUGGUACCUUCUUAGAUUCGAAUAUCAUGAAUGGCAGAUUCAAUACCACAUUAAGUUGUCCAUUGUGUGAUUUAACCGAACUUUCCCCUCCAUUAGUGUAAAAAUAUCGACGUACUCCAAAAAAAAAAAAAAAAAAAAACCUCUUUUUCCAACCAUCAAUAUUCCUAAACUGUUAGUGAAUCAAUUUAAAUAAUUUCCAAAAAUUUAAAAUUAGAACUGAAAAUAAAAAAACCACCCCAACCAACUACUCACUCAACUCCAACACCACCCAACACCUUCUGCUUAUGACGGCCUUGACGUAUCAUUUUUCCCGUGUGGACUUUCUACGUAGGAUUGUAAAGGGUGAGUUUUCUGAAAUGGAUGGCUGAGCUCUUUUCUUUUCUUCUUAUUUUUUAUUUUAAUUUUUCAGUUGACAACUUCUUCCAAUUUGAAGAAAGCCAUGUGUUCUCUUUGCGUUUUUAAUUUUUCUUUUUCUUUUUCUUUUUCACCAUAUCCUAACAUAUUUUUGGGGCAAAUGACUCCCACUUUUCUUUUCUUUUUCUUCACCCCUCGUUCAUUUCUAACACCUGGAUUGGAUAAAUCAACAGAAAAUCGAAUAAUAGAAGUGAAACAUAUGGGGUGUGCGAAAAUCAUUUCCAGACUCAAAAAUAAGGUCGAUAUUUAAUUUACUUCUCCAGCGAUCAGGGACAGAGCUAGAGCUUCUUACAUACUCGGAAUCUGUUUGUAUCUAUACAGCCCGAUUACAAAGAUAAAAAGAUUUUAAAAGGAAGCAAACACAAUGCCAUUAUUUAUCGACUUUGACGGGAUAACAAAUUUGUUACACGUCUAGGGAACAAGAUGGGUCUCAAAUUUCAGUUUCCAUGCUCAAAAUCUUAUGAUCAACCACAUUUACGUAAAAUAUUUGGAGGAAGAAAAUGUGUGUUGUAUUCGAAUAUGGCAAUCCCCAACCUCAAGAUUCACGACGAUGUAUGCAAGCAAGAAAAGAUGGAGCAAGAUGAAAAGAAAUAUAGCCCACCUUUCCACCAACAAAACUUACACAUACGCCUCAAGAAAUAUAGCCCUGGCAAUAUUGAAACCAGCAUUCCGAAAGGGGAAAAGAUAUUCUGAAUGUACAAGAUGCCAGAGUCGUGCGCCUCAAAACGCCAAUCUUUUCAAUUUUACUUGUUCCCUUGUUUUCCAAAUCUUCAAGCUAGUGCUAAAAUUGGGAGGCUGGGAAGAGAUGGAGGCACUGAACCUCUUCGAGACCUCCGUUUCGUUUGUGAGGAGAGGAAGAAUGUGCUAGCAGGAGCCUUGAUUGAAACGACUUCGGUCUCAAAGUUUGUCUGUAACCCCAUUCUUCUGUUGCCGUGAAAAUGAUAAACUUCGUGAACCAUGCAGUAUUUCUUCCUUGGAUCGUUUUGCAACAGACUCUAUCAAUCUGCAAAAGGACGGUGGUAAUGAAAAAUUUUGGGGUACAAGGAUUUGUGAAAUAAGAGCAAUGAACUCAUAGAUCGUUUUAUUAUUCAACAAAGUUCCAUGAGAAUAUCGGGGCCUUUUAUUCUAGAUCCCAGGCAGUGUCUGACCAUCAUCUUGUCCUAUUCAUCAAUCUUACAGAUACACAAUUUGCGUAUAGGCUAGAAGUUUGCUUUGUUUGCCUUCUAGCUUACAGCAGCGGCAAGCGGGGAAAAAAAACAACCUCAUUGAAUGCUUCAUAAUGGACCAUGAAGACAUCCAAUAAACAAGCAGAAAGAAGCAGCCAAAAAUCAACAUUAACCAUAACUUGGCCGUACUCUGUCCAGCCAAGAACCCUUGAGGAUUCCAGAAUUAGCCCAGAAAAUAACAAAGGAACUCAGUUUCGGACAUGUCUCGACUCAAACAGGGUGAAAAGAAGCGUAAUGUUACCUUGGGGAACUGGCACGCUUUAGAACUUGCUGACUCACCGUAAAAGUACUCCCCGGUUCAACUUCAACAGCCUGUAUAUUUCGCAUUGAAAACACAGGAAUUUAAUCAGGAAAUUCAACAUAGUCAAAAAGUUUACACGCUAGAUUGAGGUCUCCUGUUUUCUAUUCCUCCAGAAAAGGAAGAAACUUUGGGUUCAGAAGCUUCCCUUUCACAGGAGGAAAAAGGAGAUGGUUUCCACAAUGCACAAGUUAGAUCCGGCACAAACAUUGGGAAGAAAAAUGAAUCUGUGAGAAGUUUAAAACGAGUCUAUGUGAAGUUUAACAUUCAACUAGAAGUGAUAAUGGUGAUGAGGAUGUCUAAAAACCUAUCGAUUGAGGUACGGAAUAAUUGUUCAUUCAAACCAAAAAGAGAAAAGAACAUAGCUAAAUCACGCACAUUGGAAUACUUGGAUAACGGGUAGAAAUGAGGGACUGACAACCAAGCCCAUACCUUUCAAAACAGGAAUUGAUGGAGCCAAUAAGGCAGCAGUAGCAGACAUUGAAGCCAGCUCAAUCCGCUUUCAGUGUUUUAGCCAUCACAUCUUUGUCAGAUGCAAAAUUCAAAAUGGGAGUGGUUCUCCUUUCAGUGUCUUGCCCACAUACCCUUUAUCCAAGCAUCACCUAUGUUUUUAAACAUUGAAAAUCAAAUCAACUAAUGAAAGCAUCAUCAAUUAUCCCCACCUCAGAAGUGCUUUCUGUAGGCAAUCCAUCCCUUAGUAGCUCAGCUGAUCCUGGACCAACCAUGUCCAAUAGAAAUCCGUUUUCGUUUCCUUUAUCUAAAUCUCUGUCCACGACACCAGUAUGAGGUGCAAGAUAUGCAGCAUAUUUAUCUGCCAUCCCACACACGAAAUAUAUUCAGCACAUGCGAACAAAUACAUCUCAAAAUAUUGCAAGGAAAAAAGAAACUUGUGGUUUUAAGAAUAACAUUACCAGCCAAGCUGUGAAGGGCAUUCUCAGCAGCCUGUUGUUGAGCAUCCUUCCUCGUCCUACCCGUUCCAAAACCUAUCUUCUCUCCAGUGAAAAGAACCUUUAAAACAAAGUUAACAAUUAGCACAUUAGAGUCCAAAACUGAUAAAAGAUCGCUCCUCAAAUCAAAAUUAAAACAUAAAUACAAAAUGUAUAAACAAACAAAUUGAGAAGGAAGCAAAGUCUUGAAUUUUUCUCCAAGUUUUCUCUUUUCGUUCUACCAAACUAAAAAACAUUUUUUUUAUGACUCCGUAUUAUUGAUUUGACAUUUUUUUUCUGACUCUGUAUUAUUGAUUUGUUCUGCUUAAGAAAGAAAUAUGACAAAUCAGGGUCAGCUUAUGUUAGGAAACACCACACCCUAAGACAACAUUUUAGUUUUACAAUAUCUAUUGUUUAUAUAACUAAAUCAUUUCACAACAACUUCAUGCAUUUAACGCAUGUAAAUAAUAAGUACAACAGCCGUGAUGUAAAUAAGUGGUAAAAACUACCAAAGUACAAAGGGAAAAAAAGUAUAGAAGGAAAGUUCACUGACCUCAACAGAAAACUGCAAAUCGUUGCUGGUGCUUAAAACAGACCUGAACUCAAUCUGAGCAACGGGCAACAUCAUGAUAAACUCCGUUAGGAAAAAUAAGAAGAGAGAAGAGAGAGAUAGGACGGAAUGGGGCACUGCGUUGGGGAGAUAAAACUAAAGCUAUUUGUACCUUUGAACUGCACCUCCGUCCAAUUUCCUGCAGCACUCCAAUAGAUAAAGGGGAUGGCAGCAGGGUCACUUUACCAGAUUCUAUUUGAGAUUCUCUAUUCAAAGAAGAUGCUUGAUUCUGGGAUACACCAGCCUCUGCACGAAAAAACUAGGUUAUAAAACGAUAGGUAUCACUCAUAAAAAGAACCAUAUACUAUUAAUCCUAAAGGAAGAUUAUAACUUAAAACCAAACAAAGGCGAAUGAUAAUCCUAUUCCCAUCCUCCAAGUUGUGAGGUUGGAUAACAGGCUAAAAUUAAAACGAAAGGAGAGAAAGAUAAAGAUGAGAGGAAGGCUCAUUAGGCACAAAGCAUAAAAUUUUCAGUCUCAAAACCGACACAACAAUAAUCUAUACUAAAAUGGAAGGACAGUAGCCUCGGACUCUCGAUUUCUUCUUAAUAUCUCAAAAACAUUCCUCAUAUAAACUUCAAAAUUAAAAAGUAUAAUGAUGAUUAGGCAGCAAGCAUUUCAGAAAAGAAAACCUUUCAAACCGCUUGAGAGAACAAGGACACAUCAAAAGGAAACUUAACAAUCUAUAUCUAAGAUUUUCCAAGGUCCAAGGAACAUCAACGUCUCGCAUCUAUGUUUAAAAUUUGUAAAUAUAUGGAUUAAUGCAUUGACCACUCAAAUCCAACACAUCAUUCAAUGGAUCUUACAAAUCCAUAUGAUGCUUUCCAUUUGUUUGACAAUCUCUUCUCAGGUUACUUAACUUGUGCAUGAAAAAGAGGACAUAAGAAGACUCAUUUGCACAGAGUGUACCAUGAUACUUUGACUGCAAGCUAUAGUGUUAUUCUAUAAUAUCAUCAAGGUGACAUGACCCAAAAUACAAUACAAAGCUCAGCAACCUACUAUUCAAAAGAUGAUGGCUAGGAAGUGAAAGAUACAUUCUAAUGAAAUCAUCCAAUUCAUUCCAGUUCGACAUGUAGGUUUCUAUACCAGGCGAUAAAGUAAAUUACCUGAAGGCUGACUUGGAAAAGGAAGAUUCUGUUUUUGCAAAUCACGCCCAGAAGAUACCUGCAAAUAGAGAAAAUUUUAAUCACUGAGACAUUUCUGGAAUUCUUAUAGUAACACCUUAAUUCAAAUUGUCAAAACAAGUGACUCCGAAAGAAAUUUAACAAAUUCUGGACAUACCUCUUCCCUCUUCAAAUCGGAUUUGUGUGAGAGCAAACCAGUGGGUGUAGAACCUGGUGUGGCAGGACCGAAAGGAUUCUGGUAAACUGACUUUUCAGGUUUUGAAACACCAGGCUGUUGAACAAGCUCAGAAGUGUGAUUACUCGAAUGUCCUCUGUUGUUGUCAUCAUCAACCAACCAUCCUCCUUGUGCAUUUAUUGAGGAUGCUGGCAGUUGUCCAGGCACUUUAGAUAAAAGAGGGGGCUCAGCAGAGCUUUGACUCCUUAUAUCUAGACCAGGAUUUGUACCAAGGAGUCCUCUCCUCAUCUCAUGGUCACGAUCAGAAAAGCUAUCACGUCUAACAGGAAGUCCAAGCAGACCAGGUUUCUGAGAAGGUAUGACCGGCCUCAAAGAUGUCGUACCAGCAGCAUUGGGAAGAAUUGCAGCCAGUGCUUGAGAGUUGUCAGAUCUUGACUCAGCAUGAUUUUUCACAGAAUGAACCACCGACUCCACACCACCCUUAUCAUCAGAUAGGUUUAAUCUUCGUUCCACUUCGACACCAUUCAUUCCUUCACUAAUGGGAGCAUUAGCAUUUCCAUUUGGUGCAAAACCAGCAUCCUCGGACAUCAAGUAAUUGCUCACAUCAGGAGCAGGAGGCAAAUUUACCACCUCAUCUUCAUAAAAAACUCCAGAAAUUCUUCGCAACAAAAUUUCAUCAAACUCUUUGAAAAAACAACCUCUGACAUUGCAUGCAACAUUUCUUGCUACACAGAGGACUGGAACUGCACUAGCUGUCUCUGCUUGAGGAGCAUAAUAUGGGCUGAAAGCUGGAACAACAUGGACUCGAGGUUGAUCCUUAUCUUCCCAGACAUUGGAACGGUCAUCAAUAACCAUUGCCAUCUUUGGAUGGCACACUCCUUGUUGGAAGACAUUCAGUAAAGAUUUCUUGGAGCCUGAUUUAACACAAACAACACGGUCCAGAAGUUGCUUUGAGCCUAUUAAGUGUGACCCUGGGUCAAGAAGCCUCCACAUUUCUAAGGCAUAAUCUCUUUCAGCCAUAGUACAGACGUAAACUUCAAACCUCUUGCGUCCUUUUGCAGUUAAAUAACUUCUCAAAUCUUCCCAUGCAGGUCGUAACCGCACAAGCACACUGGUAUCACGAAUCUGCAUUAAACAACAAUAUUGUAUUGUAGUCUUUUGCACACUUGCAUGAGAAUAUGUAGCUAUAUUUGCAGCUACUAUGACGAGAUUGACUUAUCAGUUAUCACUCAUUCUACUUUUUUGUAAGAUGACAGUUGUUUUACUAAAUAACUUCUAAAAGCUCCCUGACUAAUCAAACUGCCACAUGAAUUUUGGAUAACUCAAGGGAACAUAUCGCACAGAUGGGUGAAUGUAUCAAUGGAUCUAAAAGUUAACAAACAUAUGUUGAUCAAAAAAGCACUGCAAUGUUUGGAAAACCUACCGAGGUUUAGCCAAAUGAAAAAAAAAAUCUAAAUUUCUGCAAACAACAUUAGGCUACACUCCUAGCAUGCAGCUAAAUUAUCUCUGCCUAAAGAACACACUACGUAGUUUUCAUAAAUUUUACAUUAGGAUGGUGUUGUUCUCAAGUCCUAGUAAUGAAUGAUAUUACAACAUAUUGUCUCAAUGCACUCAUUCAUUAUCUUCAAUAACAGCAUUUAGGGUAUUGAAUUCCUAUAAAACAAAAGGGAAACAAACAAAUAAAACAUACAGAAAAAAAAAAAACAUGACUAGAGGAUCACCUCGGGAUUGAUGCGAGUGAGCACAAUGUUCUUCUCUGGCAAUCUAAUGAUAGGCCGAAUCAUUUUUUCAUGGUUAUCAGACAGUGGAGGAACCUCCUCCAGUUGAACUUUAUACAACUUUCCAUUAUCCAUCACACAAUCGUUAUCUAUAUAUUGCUUCAACAGCCACCUCUCGUCCAUGUACCGCUUCAUUUCAGCAGACAUUCCAGCUAUUCGCACCCCAUCACUCUCCCGUCCAAUCCAACUUCGUAAAGCCUCGAUCCUAUCCUCAAAAGACUUCAUGGUGUUGGCAACAAUCAACGUCUCAUCGAGAUCAAACACAAUUGAGAGAACCCUCAGAUUCAGCAUUCCUAGAGAAGCACUGUACAGACCAACAGGAACCGCAUAGCACCAAAAGCACGGAAAUUUCUUCUGCUUACUCGGCAUGGCUACCAAGUGAAUCUCCUCAUCCCCUACCAACACAAUCGCCGUCUGCUUAAGACAAUGAAUCACCUUAUUAGUACACUCCGCCUAAUUAACUCGAAAAAAAAAACAAAAAAAAACAAAAUCUGGAUCACAUUCUUGAUUUAACCACGAUACUAACUGAGCUAACUUUACUAGGUCAGUUAACUAACCGUUAUCCAAUCAAAUUACCUCCAAAAACUUCAGAUUAAAAUUUAUGUGCUGCCGGUACAUUUUCUUGGGAGCCAAACAGAAAGCUCAAUCUAAACAAUCUAUAUAAACAAAUGCAAACAUCGAAAAAUGGAAGCAAUUGAGUGGGAACCUUGAACUCGUAGAAGCAAGAGGCGUGGAGAUUGAUCAAAUGCGGCUGUUCGACAGGGGAGGCCGAUUCGAGUUUGCAGCGAACAGAAAACGAGGAAAUCGUCUGGAGAAUUGAGAGCGGAGGACACCUCUCGCUUUGCUGCGAAAUCCGGUGGAUUCGAAUCUCAUUGUUCGGGAACCGGAAAUUCCCGUCCGUCACCGGAAUAGCGUCCAGCUCUCCCAAACGCAGCUCGCCAUGGUAGACUACGGACUUGAACCCUAAACGGCUCAUUAAUUUAGAUCAAAUUUGAGAGGGAAAGCGCGAAGAAUUUGAGGUCAAAUCGUAAAUGUUGAAAAGAUCAGGGGGGUUUCUGUGAAAAAUUGGGAAGUAAUUCUCCAGUUUUGCUAUCCGCUCCUCCUUUCUCUCUCACUCCUCUCAGACCUCUUCGCUCUCUCUCUCUCUCUCUCUCUCUCUCUCUCUCUCUGCCUUCGGUUUCAAACAAUGAGACUCGCCGGGUAUUUAUAUGCCCAAGGGGGCAGUUAUGUGUCCGAAAUUACCAUUAUAUCCAUUCAGCCCGGAAGUCCGUUGAUUUCGGAUGGCCGCCUCUGGACCGUUUGAUCAAAGGUAGGAUUUUGGACUUUUGCGCACCUUUAGUUUGUUUUUUUUUUCUUUAAUAAGGAGAGACAAUUGACACAAUUAUCUAUCAUUUUUUAGAGCCGGAAGACUCACAAAUGUAUUUCAGCAUUUUCUUAACCAGAGUCAAGUAGACUCACUAGUUUGGGUCUUGAACCCGAAAUCUCCUUGUCCUUUUAUAUUUUAAGAGCCGAAAUUCGCGCCCUUACAAUUAGAUCACUGUUGUGGUUUGCGAAUCUUUUAGUUCAAGAUGCAUAAAGUUAUAAGGUAUUAUAUUUUAAUUAUUUUUGGGUUUAAUUCUUUUUUAUAUUUUAUUUUUAAUCCAUGGGAAUAAUUUAAUCUUUAUCAGCUAAUCAACGGAAACCAGGCUGAAUUUUGUUGUUAAUUAACCGUGGUUUAAAAAUUUAAUCUUAGUAAUGUUGGACUAUUUGUAAUUUUAUAUGAGGUCCAUUGGGCUUUAUUUAAAUGGGCCACUAAAAAUUGCUUGCAGUAACUUGGCCCUCAAAAUCCAAUUAGAAAACCCAAAUAGCAUCUGACAACUCAAUUUAUUGAAUGGAAAAAACCAAAAAACCAAUUAUGCAACAGAAUGUUCAAAAGCUUUUAUUUCAUAAAUAAGAAGUUGUUAGCUUAGUUGGGCUAGUUUGGUAUUGUUGUAUUUUUUGAAAAAAAAAAACUGUUUCUGUUGUACGAUGAGAAUAAACAGUUGUAAAAUAAAGUUGUUGAGUGCUUGGUAAACUUUUUUUUUGUAAAAGUGCUUUUAACCAAAAAAAAUGUCCAAGUGUUUGAUAAACUUUUAUAUAAAUUAUUGUGAAUAUGUAAAAUGACUAAAAAUAAUAUGGAAUUUAAUGUGAUAUUAAUAAUUGUGACAAAGAAUAAUGCAGGGGCAAUCACUGUAAUUUUGUAAUAUAUGUGGAGAUAUAUUUGUCAUUUGAUAAUUCCAUUAAAUGAGCACUGAUUACUAUGCUUUGAAAAAAAAAAACACUUUUUUUCAGAAGCAUGAUAAAACCUGCCCUGAUUUUUUAUGAUUUUCUACUGUCACUUACAACAAUUUUUUAAAAAGUACUCUUUUUUUUUAUUUUACCAAACACAUUUUAUGUUCCAAAUCUGUUAAUAAGCUUCUUUUUUAAAAAGCACCACAAUCCAAAACCAACCCUUAACUAAAAACACCUCUUAUAUUUGAGGUUCUAAGUUCGAUUUCUCCUCCUUGCUAUUAUUUGUAUUAAUUUUUUUUGAGUUUUUAUAAAUAAAAAAAUAGUUCAACCUCUUCAAGCUAGCCCCUGCAAUUGAAAAUCGUUCAAUAUAUUCCUUGAAAAUGGGUGUCUCAAAUUAGAGUGGUUCUUCUGUCACAAUUCUGUCAAAGAUUUUAUUAUGUGUUGAUGUGGCACAUAAUCAGAUUUCAUAAGUCUAAUUAAAUAUUACUAUGUGAAAUUAAAAUAUUUAAAUAAAAAAGAUGUAUAAUUAGGCAACGCACGACACCACACUGAUAAGACAAACAUGGUUUAGCAUAAACCUAAAUCUCGAACGAAGGAUGUGAGGGUCGAAUCACGCAUGCGGAUUUCGCCCACUUAAUUCACUUAAUGGCGAACACUAAUCAAUCUAGAGAAAUGUUGAACAAAGAAAAAAUGUUCGUGAGAACUGUUGCCACAUAAGCCAAAAAUGAUGUACUUUGUCUUAAGUUACCCGACUGUAAAUUGGCUCGAAACAGUUUGAACUUGUACCGAUUUCUACUUGUGUUUGGCUCAUCGAAGCUCGACUCAUGAAAGAACCAAGCCAAGCAUAGUUCAGCUUGAUUAAAAAAUAAGUCAGACUUGAGCGUUAGUAUGUUUGCCUUGUAAAACUUGUGAACAACUCGAAAUUUUUCAUGAGACAGGUCAAGGUAAGCUUGAGCUUGGCUUGGUCAUUCAAGCUCGACAACUCUUGAGAAGUACGUAUCUAGAGUCCCAAGUCUAACUCAAUUAACAAAGGGGUGUGAUUUCCGUACACCCCAUUUUACUUCUCACAUAUUUUUUAAUUUCAACCGUCGGAUCAGAUGAAUUGAAGAAGAUUAACGAACAAAAAUUAUCAAGGGGUGUGUGAGAAGUAAAAUGGAAUGUGUGGAUAGCACACUCCUUAACAAAACAAAGAAUAGCCAUUUAAUAUUACGAUCUGGCUACGGUCUAAUGAUAUUCUUCUUCACUUGAAAUGAGAAAUCUUAGGUUCAAAUUUAUAGAAUUGUGAGUUCAAAACUAAUUUAUUCCACCCGCUUACCGUAAAUAUAUUGUUGUAAUAAGAAAACCUAGAAAUGAUACUUUGAUGGGGGUUCUUCCUCGUGGAACCAAGUACAAAUAGGACUUCAUGGUUGUCGCUCAAAGAAGCCCAAACCAUACAAGAAGAUAAGUAAAAAUCAGCAACCGCUUGCAUACUAUAAGCUUUGUUACUCAUUUUAUACUAACAAAUAAAAGGAAAAAUGUGAAGCAGCCAGAGGCGGAUCCACAUAGGGACCAGGGAGGUUCCAGGACCUCUCGACGAUCCUAAAAUGCUGCUAUAAUUUUUUCGGGGGACCCCUCGACGAGAACACAAGGUCUAUGCUGCAGGUUGCAAUAGAGAAGAAGACAGCGGGGUUGCGGGGGAGAAGAAAGAAAACAGGGUUUUUUAAAAAGUUGGUCCAAAACGUAGUGUUUUGGCCUUUUUUUUGUUGUUGUUAAAAGCUAAUGAGACAAAUGGUGCCGUUUGUCAAUUGUCCAUGAUUCCAUACGUCUAGCCCCACAUGGGCCAUCUUUCCAGAGAGUCCCUUUCCUUUUCCCGUUCCGUUCCUCUGCUUUUCCCCCCUAAUCCCCAUCUUUCUUAUAUUCACCCAAAACCCUAAAUUUCUAAUCCCACCCAAUCCCGUAUUAUAAUUAUUAAUUACAUUACUUCAAUAUCAUACCUCCACUUGUUUCAAUUCUCCAAGCCACCACUAUUUGGUUCAAAAUUCAAUUAAGUUUUUUGGUAUUCUAAUCUAAUCUCAAUUAAAUUAUAUUAGAUAUUGGUGGAGAUUUUUAGUCUAUUAUUGAUAUGAUUGUUGAUAUGUUUUAUGUUUGUAUACUCAUUUUAUAAUUGAAAUUUAGAUGGAAUUUUUGUUUAUUGGUUGAUUGGUAUUUGUUUUGUGUUUUUGGUUAAAUGUGUAGUUUAGAAAUAAGAAAUAUGGAACGAUUUUUCAAGCCAAAGCCAAUAGCACCAUUGACUUGUUCGGAUAGUUCGAGCAGACAAAAUGAGUGUGACAUUGAUUUUAAUAAUCUUGAGAGAGACCGGGAAAAAGAAUUUGAAUGAAGGACUAUCCUUCUAAUAUUCAAGAUGAGAUCCGAAAAGCAUAUUUGCAAAUGGGACCUUGUAGGCCUACAAAGUAUGACUUCCCAUACACUUUGAAUGAAAUGUAUUAUAUUUAACUUUUCAAUGUUAUUUUUAUUUAUAAAUUUUUUUGACCUCUAUUAUUGGGACCCCCCGAGUUUAAAAUCCUGGAUCCGCCACUGCAAGCAGCCGGGAACUUUAGCAACGUUCCAGCAAACAGUUGAACGAUACCGUGCAAAUGAUCAUCUCGGAAGUAUUUGUGUUUCAGGAUCGUCAAAGAUCAACGAGCUGGUGGAAGUUAUAUCAGGGUUUGCUGUUGAUUUCUUGCGUGACUGAGAUGAUGACGAUGUCUCCUCCAAUGAACUGGUACCGCCAAAUUUUCCAGGUGCAUGCAUCCUCGGCCUUGGUUUUGUUAGUGCCUUCUCAUGUUUCAAUCGGAAGAGGACGUUUAUUAACGAUUGAAAUGCAUAACAUCAUCAUUCAGCACCUGGGAAAUCAUAAGUACCUUCUCGUUUAGGUGGACCUCUUUGGAAAGCAUUUCCACAACUUGCGUCAUUGUUGGUCUCUGUUGCGCAGUGGCUUGAGUACAAAACAGCGCAACCUUGAUGAAGCGCAUAACCUCGGCCUCUGGAUAUGCAGUCAAUUCUGGAUCAACAAGUUCCAGGAGCCUUUCUUCUUCUCUUAGUUUCCAUACCUGAAAAAGCAUUUAUACGAUUGUCAAGGUACUCGGAAUAUACCUCUUGUAAGUAUGUUUUACAUUAAGAUGAAUGCACGCAGAACAUCCUGUUAACGACCAUUGCAUCAAAACAUGAAAAGGGUUUCUAUGAUUCAUUGCCUAAGAAUUUUGUACUUUGUCUGAGCACAAUGUAAAAAUUUAUACAUAACAGAAGCAUACCCAUUCGACGAGAACCAGCAGUUGCUCCCCAAAGGCUACCUUACUACUACUUCUGCCACUAAUUAUCUCAAGCAAGAGCACCCCAAAGCUGUACACAUCUGCUUUCUUCGUAAGUUGUCCCAAAAGCGCAUAUUCUGGGGCGAGAUAUCCCCUGCAGAAGCAGAACAUUAUUGUUGUUAGUGCACAAAACAUUAGUAGGAACAUCUAUAUUAUAUCAGUUGCUAAUGGCUAUUGGUUCCUACUCUCCUACGCAGUAUGCACUACAAGAUUAUUGACUAAAUUUCUGGCAGAUUAAGAGCAACUAUGUACUUCGUAAACCCUGAUACUGAAUUGAACUUGAAGUUAGUACUCGAUCAUAUUGGUUAUUCAUUUUAAGGAGGAAACCUCCAACACACCACAUUCAAAAACUAAUUUCUGAACUACAUAGCUGGGUUGCAGUUAAAUUAAAUGUUAUAAGAAAUUCUUACUCCGUUCCAGCUACUCUAGUACUAAGAUGAGUGACAUUAUCAGGAAAAAGUUUUGCCAGCCCAAAAUCUCCAAUUUUAGGACGAAAAUUUGCAUCAAGAAGUAUAUUGCUAGCCUUGAUAUCUCUGUGGACAAUUUGCUGUUCAGCUUCCUCGUGAAGGAAUGCAAGACCGGUAGCUGUACCAAGGCAAAUCGAAACUCUCGUUGGCCAAUCUAGAAAAACAUAUUUACUUCUCGAACCUGGAAAGAUAGUUGUUGCAUAUUAGCAUAUACAGAAUGUUUGACAGAUUAGAAUAAAAGGGAAAAACGAUGAGAUAAACGGCUCAACUAAGCGGGUUAAAAAUCAUGUCAAUCCCCCCGCGGGUGGGUGAAAAAUUAACUUUAGAAAAUGAAAUCUGAGGUAAAACAUAGAACUUAAAUAUUCCAAUAAUUACCAAGCAAAGAUCUAGAAAGACUGUUGUUCUCCAGAUAUUCAUAUACCAAUAUCCGAUGGUUGUCCUCCACACAGCAACCAAGGAGCUCAACAAGGUUUGGAUGUCGUAUACGCGAUAUCACAUUAAUCUCUGUCAAAAAUUCAUUUGCUCCUUGUCUAGAUUCUGCGGAAAGACAUUUGAUCGCAACUUGGGCAUCAUCUCUUAGAACUCCCUGAUGUGAUAAAUGAUAUUAAAGUAUCAGAAAUAAAGAAACCGUAUAGUAGUCAAUCUUGAACCUUUAGACCUAGGAUUAACAAACUUUCAUUUUUAAGUGCUUCAAUGCUGGCCAUCAUGAAGAAAUUUAGACCUACUACACAAAUAAAAGCUUCAUUGACCUCACCCUAUAGACAACUCCAUAACCUCCUCCACCUAUCCUGCUCGAUGGAUGAAAGUUCCUAGUAGCUGAUCUCAGAGAAUUAUACGAGAAAAGCCUUACGUUGUUGUUGAUAAUCCCUAAUUUCCAUACAUACAGACAUAAAAACCCUUGUGAGAUCAAUUUAUCCAGUUCAGAAAUAAUAUAAGAAAACUUCUAAUAGCAUGUAUGUAUCCGACAGCAUAAUCUAAGCCUAAAAUGGCAAACACAUUUUUCGGUCUUUCUUUUCCGCUUCAUAUGUGUGAUUUCUAAAUUCAUUAGUUGAACAGAUGGUCAAAGAGGUGGAAGUAGAAAUAAAUAAAUAACAGGGUCUUGGAGAAAUUAAAGACAUAAGACAUAUACGAAUCUGCAUAAUUUUACUCUUCUAGCUUGCUAUGAAAAUUCAAUUUAUCAGGGAAAGAAAAUGGAAAUUGGACACAACCAUUUACCAUGGUGGUGAUAUACAAACACGACACUACCAUUCGUCAUGGUGAUGAAAUGCAGACACAACACAACCAAUUAAUUUACGCUACAGCAGCAAUAGGAAUCAUUGUACUCGGGGAGCUUGCGUUCUGCUAGAUUUGAGAACUCUCAUUUCUUACAUACAACACAAUAGAUGUUUCACAAGCUCAGAACCUGAGCUACAUUGCGGCCGUUGCCCACAAAAAUUUUAACCCUUGUACACCCACUGAAAAGGUACAAAGGUGCAAACUAAAGCUCUAACAGAACCCUUUUGCAUCCACUCGAAAAAAACCUGGACUUUGGUUCUGAAAUUCAAUAAUCGAAACGAUAAUUAUGCUACAAGCAACUUACAGAAGGGAAACACACACAAAUGGAAAGUAUUGACUAUUUUACUGCUUUUACCAUAUAAAGAGUUCAUUUGCUAAUUAAUUACUAACAAAUCCUUACCUUGCUCCUGGAAGGAAGACGAGGAAGCUCUUUCUUCUUUACGCCAUUUCAGCACAGAGAAGCAACCACAAACCAUUGCAGCACACAAUUUAGUUGCCCUAAAACCCUAACACCAUAUCUCCAUAAACCCUAAUCUGAAAAUCACAGAAUCAAGCUCCAAAAUCCAGCACAACCCACUAAGCAAAAACACAACGAACCAAAAUUAAAGUCAAGAACUUUUUGUUCUACAAAAUGAAAAUUGAAAAAGCAAAAGCUGGGAACUUUGAAAUAAAGCAGAUCACUGCGGAAUCUGGAACCCUAACCAGAAUUGGGAACCUCUGGAAUUCUUCUUCUGCAACAGGAAAAAGCCAGAAAAGCGCCUUUGCUUUUCUGGGCCAGUUGGGUUUUUAAGCAAAAACAAAAACCCAAAUGGCAUAGAAACAGGGAAGGCAGAUGAAAGGUGGGAAAUUAAUAGUGGAGGAUUAAAUUGAAAACCCAUGUUACCCAUGAACAAAGGUAUUAGAAAUAAGAAGUGGGAAACCUGAUAAAUUUUGAAGGGUCAAAAGUCUGCUAUUUACAGAAACCAGUGAACGGCUUCUGAUGGUGACAUUGUUUUUCUUUGGUUUAAUUUCUUACCCAAGUUGCAAGAGAAGGGAAAGAUUAAUCAAAAUUAAGGUUGGGGUUUUGGGAGUGAUCCAAGUAAGUCAAAGUUGAAGAUUUGGGCGUUUAUCCUCCGUAAUUCUUUAGGCCUUUUCUGGUGCUGGUAGGUAAUCGGUCACACACGAACUGCUGUAGUUUCAAACUCACCUACACCAAGUUUUGUAUAAAAGAAAUUUUUUUAGUUGUUUCUUUCUUUAUACGCGGAAACCAUUUUCCUCUCUUGACCCCCCACAAUAGUUUUUUUAGAAAAAUUAAUGAAAAUUAUUUGAAAAUUUUGAGUUUUAACGAUAAUGACAGAAUAAAGGAUAAAAUGAAUAGUAUCAGAAUUGACAUUUUAGUGUAAAAAUAUGAUUUUUCUUUAAAACGAACAGUACCGAAAGUUCUGUUGUUAAAAUUUCCUAGUUUUUUUAGUGUACCCAACGACCAUCACGUAAUAUUAAUUUUCAACGCAUGACAAAUGUUUCGAGUACACAUAAUUUCUCAUAUCCCACGUCAAUAAGCAACCUAAAAUUAGCAUACACCAGAUAGGACAGUUGGCAAAACUGAAGUUACAAAAAAAAAGGGUCAUUUUGGAGUUGAUUGAGAAUCGAACUUAAGUUAACAAGUGGACGUUGUCAACCCACCUCUUUAUUCUUAAUCUGUUUAUAUUAAAAGUACACACGCAAAAUUAACAUUUCUUAAUUUAUAUUAAAAGUAGACGCAAAAUUGACAUUCUCUAAUGUAAAUAUGAUUUCAUAGUAUGAGUUUUCUUUUCUUUGCUGGACUAUGAUUGAACACACAACACAUCCAUUUUCUUUGUUUGUAAAAGUUUAGGAGGAGAUUGGUUACUCUCACCAUUAACGUCAGGAUAUACCCACAAUCUCGAGCAAGAAUAAUUUAUGUGUGGCACCUAACUAUCGGUUGUCACCUGUAUGGAUUUAUAUAAGAAUUUACAGAUCGCACACCAAUAAAAACUACUAUCAGUGAAACUCGAACUUUGAUACGAUCGAUGACACACAAAACAAGAACCUUACCAAUCAUUUGUUACUAUUAGACAAAUUUCUCCUUUGAUUUUCUUCUUAUUCUUUGCCAUAACGCCCGUUCGGGACAAGUUGGAAGAGGAAUUCCCAAUUCUUACAUGGAUGAGACCGUUGAGCCAACCCUCGUUAGAAUUGAAUUAGUCAAAUCGAACCAACCACAGUCCACACCUUUCAUUUCCCCUAUGCAUCACACUUUUGACAAAACCCAAAGGUUUUUUUAUUUUUUCCUUCUUUUUUUUUGUCGUCGUCAAACGAUAGAUUUUUAACUCGGUUAACAACAUCAAGUGUUAUAAUAACAAUCAUCAAAAUUCGAUUUAACCGUUGCACGAGCCGUAGGGCCGGUUACUACGAUCAGGAUUUUACUUCUUUUCUUUUCAAUGUACACCAACUUUUAGUCGGUUAUGAUUAAUAAAUUACACAACGCAUACAUCUUUAAUUUAAAGACUAAUUACCUGACCAGUCCUUGGAAAGGGAUUAGUUGAACUAACACAUUUCGCACAUCUGUUGUAUAAGAAGGCCCACAUCUCAAAGUCUUUAACGAUGGAGAUUAACUGCUUAAAAACCAUAACUUUUUAACGUGUAUCCUAUGAAAGUAAUUAUGUUUUUGAGUCCCCACAUUACAUGUUCUAGAUACAUGAUGCACGGGUGAGCAAUUCUUUUUUAUUAAUUCAAGCAUUUUUCUAAGAAGACUCCUUCAAAGUAAGACUCUCAAUGAAUUAUCUGUCAUUUCACAAUUUAAUAUCAAUUCCUAUACCAAUAUUAUAAAAAUAUUGUGCUUUGACAGAAAACGUACAAAAAAUCUCACGUCUGAAAGAAUUUCAUUUGCAUUUCUCCUUUUCAAAAUAUCUGUAAAUAGGUUGGGUAUUCUUUCCAGGACUAGUGGAGUCUGCACUUCUGAAGCAAAAAGAAAAGAUUGAAGUUUGAACGUUUUCUUCCUUUUUGCUAAUUCUUACUUUAUUACUGAGUGGGUUCGGUGAGGAAGCACUAGUGGAAGAACACGCAGAAAAUGUUGUAUAUAAUAUAUAUGCAAAGGGAUCUCCAUUUGUUUUAAAAAAUGGGGAUUAAGUGUGUGUGAAACUCACUUCACAUCGAACUUUAACGAUCUAAAUCAUCUAUUUUGUAAGUCUCGAUUCAUAGAUUAUCAUUACAAUAAUUUAAUUCAAUCCGAAACCAUUUAUCUAUUUAAUUAUCAAAAGAAAAUUUCAUUAUUUUUUAUAUAACAAAGUAUUCGUUAAUUUAUUUGAACUCAAUUAGAUAUCUUAAACAUUUUCGAUUUGGCUAAUAUCUUGCAAGGAUGAUCUAUGAGGUGCAACUUAAAAAAUAGACGGUUCGGAUCAUUAAAGUUCAAUAUGGUGUGAACCCUACAACUAAUCCCAUUUUUAUAAAAAAAAAAAAAAAAAAAAAAAAAAUGGAAUCCCUUCCCUUAAAGGUUCCCUAUAUAGGAAAAGGAUUCUCGUUGGAUCUUUUUUCUCUGGAUCACAAAAAUCUCUUGAUCGUAACCGUUCACCGUAUAUCGUACGUGUUGACAAUUGACAGGACAUCUAUUCAUUCAGUUGGAGCAUAUGAACACUUGUUCGAUUGUCAAACGUUUGUAUUUUUGUCUCUCUCCGCAAUGUAUACGUUGACAAUUGACAGGGACAUCUAUUCAUUCAUGUGGAGCAUACUUGAACACUUGUUCGAUUGUCAAACGUUUGUAUUUUUGACUCUCUCCGCAAUCCGAAUUGACCUGGUGUCUCUAGUUUUCAUUUGGUUGUCUAUUGUCAAGAUGCAUGAUUAAGCAGGACGAUUUCCACACUCCCAUUUUCUCUUUUGCACUCACCCCUUUUUUCGUUGUGUUUGGAUUGAAUAAAUCAAAGGAUAAUGAACGGGAGCGUGUAAGCAACUCCCAUGGAAUGUCAUGUCUAAUAUGAUAGCAAUAUGAAGAAUGAAACCUUAAUAAAUUUCAAGUUUCAUAGUAUGAACAGUAAAUUGUAAAUGCUGAAGGAGGUCUUCAACUUGCAAAUCAUCGAAAUCUAGUACAAACAAUCAUGGCUACGGAAAAUAUGGUUCAUCAAAAGCACCCGAUACUUGUUCUGGCAUAGCGAGGACUGAUACUCGGAAUCGACAUGACUCACAAACUUUCUCUAACAUUUACAGAUCAGCUUCGUUCAGGUAUGCGCUGUAGCUUAAAUAUCGCGCUGAGUAUGCCAAUUUCCCGUGUAAAAUAAUACUGCUGGGAGAAUGAUGAGGCUGGCUGCAAAUAAUUCGGGGUCGAUGGUCCCAUGGGGCGGUCACCUACCUUGGUGUCUUGCAGGAGGAGUUUCCUCUCUCACUUCCAGGAUCAAUAGCUUCAAUUUCACACCCCUCUAAACUAAGAGGAAUGUUGUUGACACUUGGUUCGGAGCUAGCAUUGCUGCAUGUGGCAAGAGGAGAGUCCAUCGCACCAGUUGUAUUGCUUUUUGUUGGUUUAAUUCUGACACUAUACCCAGAGGAAGCUGGAACAUUCGUCAGAACUGGCCGUAGAUUGCCUGGCAUGCUUCGCCUUAUAUCCUGUAUAAAGAAAAUUCCAAAAUUUAAGUUAAAUGCUACUUCUGAAAACGGGUUUUGCUAGUCAUGUGGAUAAUUUAUGAAUCAAACCAAGCAUAAUUUGGAAUUGGAUAGUACAAAGUGGAAUGCAAGAUCCGAAUGAAGGGAAACAACAUGCACUUGAACAAGGAAAGUGAUGCAUACCAUGUGCCUCAUAGCCAUAUCAAUGGACUUCUUUGAAAGAUUUCUUCCAAAGCCUGAGCUUUCAGAGGAUGAAGACUUCCCACCGGAACCGUUAUCAGUAUUAUGAUGGUCAUAAUGCUUAGGUGGUGCCAGUUUCCGCGAGUUUACUACUCUCUCAACCAUUUGUGUUCCAAUAAGUACAGGGUUCACAUCAUCAUUGUCAUGAGAAGAUGAUCUGCUUAUGACUCGAUGAGAGUUCCCAUUGGUAGUGGUACUAACAUUUGAAGCCCGUGCUCUAGAAGGUGAACACGAUUGCUGUCUUGGUUUUCCAUUAGAACCAGCCAUAACAGAAGAUGAUUUAACACUUGGCGCUCCAGGCCUAUCCCUAGAGGCUGAAGCCGGCCUUUGUGGCACUGAUGUUCUUAAAGUUGGGGGCGCAUCAUGUGAGAAACCAGGAAUCUCAGAGGAUUUCAAGGGCCUUGGUUUUACCGUCGGAGAACUUCCACGUGAUGAAACUGGAUUUUUUGAACUUGUGGGGCGUAACUUUGAUGCUGAAGAAGAUCGACCAGGAGGGGCAGAUACGGCAGCUGCACUUGAUGAACUUGAUGAACUUGGUCGAUGGGUUGGUGUUGCUGGUCUUGAUGUUGACCUGGAAGCUGGUGCAGAGGGUCUGGUAGUUGGUGCAGAAGGUCUGCCAGUUGGUGUAGAAGAACGAGCUGUGGACCUAGAAGGAGUUGAAGACCUUACGGGAGGAGCCACAGGCUUUGGGGAUGAUAAGGUGGCUCGAGAAUUUGGGGUGGAGGAUCUUGAGGGCUUGGUUGUUGAAGGUAAUGUGGACCGUCCAAUUGGUGUUGCAGAUCUACGAGUAGCAGGUGAUGAGGGCCUUCUGUUACCGGAACUGGAAGAGUUCAGUCCAGACGGCAAUGUUGGCUGCUUAGAUGUUAUAUUGUUCCUUGAAGCAGAUUCUAGCUGGUUGUUUGCUAGCUGAAAGUCCCAAGUUAUGGGAAACAUGACAACAUAAAUUUGCAAAUGACAACUUCAUAAGUCAAACGAAAUGUCUCCCAAAACAAUCAAUAGAACACCAUUUGCAAUCAUAAGUUUGUAACUUGUAAGUAAGGAAGACUAAAACUAUGGGAAGAUUCAAGUCCAACCUUACUAUGACACACAUACAUCUCAUAGAAUCUACUAUCAAUGAGUCAAAUGUACAAAUGCUGCACAUACAUUUCGUAGAAUUAACAUCAAUGAGUACAGAUGCUGCGCAUGCACUUCAUAAAAUUAAAAACAAAUGAGUCAAAUGUCCGAAUGCUACACAUACAUCUCAUAGAAUUUAACGCUUCUAUGUAUUUAGAAUGUGUUAGCUAAAGUCCUUACCCGAGAUUUUGGGGCGGAUGCACGGUCAUUAGUAAUCUCACUCUGAUUCGUCGUAGUUUUCUGCACUUCCAUAUCCAAGGAUGAAAAAAGUGGAGUAGCUGGUGGUGUAAGAAGCCUGGACACAGAAAAGAUUACCGAUAGAUCCGAUACCACAACAAAUGACUCAACAUUACUACGACGCGGGAGUCCAGACCAAAGCAUAGAGAUUAGAGUGAGAAAUAGAAGUCUACAAAAUUGAACAAGGAUUUCUGUCAUAUGAAGCCUCAAUCAGUUUUUCUUGAAAACAGUCCUUAGAAACAGAACUGCCCCUGAUUUUUCAAACACCUCAGCAAAAUGUUUUAGAAAUCAGAUCCCAGUUCAUUAGUCCUAGGAUAAUUUAAUCCCACCCAAUUUAGCAACCCAACAGUUUUCUUCAUCAAUUCAACAAGUUACCAUAACCAGAGACUUAAACUUUGAUUAGUCCUACGGAAAUUUAAUCCCACCAAAAACCAAGACAACUUUGACAAUAAUUUACUCACCAAUCGUAGUCAGAUUUCUCAUUCUCCGAAUUUAAAAACUCAUCCACCCGGAUCUUCGGCUGGGGCGGUGGCGCCGCCCCAACAGUCCUGGAAACCGCCGCGCCUCCGCGGUUGUCAGAUUCUGCAGAAACCAAACACAACCCACCAUCAAAACCAACCUCAUAAACCCAAAAAAACAACAAAGACUGAAACUUUAAACCAAAAACAAGAAACCCAAAUGCCGUCGUACCCGGAGGAGCAACAGCGGCAGCAAUAGGGUCGAGCUCGUCGGCGUUCUUGUUCGGGGGAAGGAGGAGAAAGCCGGCAUUUUUCUCCUUGUCCUUCUCGCGCCUCCGCAUCUCGAGAAACAGAGCGAGCUCUUCGUCUCUGUCGUUGACGUUCACCACCUUCCCGAAGCUCCGUUCUCGCGCCCUCGACUCCACAGUAACUUCCAUGGUCGUCUCUGCAGCUCAGCAAACACAGAGGCUUCGAGAAGAGAGAGAGGAGGGGGGGGGGGCGGAGUAUUUCUGUAGCUGAAAUUUCGGGUGCUGAGUUUUUUUUGUAGUAUUUUUCUGAUUGCUUUGACAAGAAAUAGAAUAUCUCAGUCAGUCGCUCUCUCUCUCUCUCUCUCUCUCUCUCUCUCUCAAUCUCUCUCUCUCUCUCUCUCUCUCUCAAUCUCUCUCGUUUUGGAAGCAUUCAGAAAUUUGAACAAAAAAACGAAGCAUUGGGAAAUUAAUAUUUUAUUUAAUGUGGGUAAUUUGUGAAGAUUGGUGCUGAAUAUGGGCUGAGAUAUGGGGAUAAUUACGACUGUGCCAUUGGAUUUGCUCUUGCGAGACGUGGCAUUCUCUUGAUCAUUUUCCUCAUAAACGGUAGACAUGUGAAGAAGAUACAAGAUUCAUGAUGCAUGUGAACUUCAUGGAAAGUUUUGGCCUUGGAAAAUAAAUGAUUUUGGGGUUAGUGAAAAGCUUAAAUUUCCUGUGAUAAGGUGCUCAUAAUAUUUGCAAAGAAUGAUCGAGAUUUGGACACGUAAUUUUGAAUGAACAAGGUUAACCUUAUUAACAACUUGAGUUGCAAAAUUUUUAAUUUAACAAUUUAGCAUGUAAGAAGUCAUUGGGAGAGGAUUACAUGAGGUUAAUUUUCACAUUGUUUGUAACUAUAGCCUAUUAAUUUGGUAUAUAUUAUGUUCUUGAUUGUUAAUAUUAUGUAUGAUUAAUGAUCAUGUAAAAUGCGUGAUUAAAAUUAACAGUCUAACAACUUAAUAUGUUGAGUGAUAGAAAAUACUAAGCUAUUUUGUCAUAUUUGCACAUGUACAUGUCAACUACAACCUCAACCAUACCUAGGUUUUGUAGUUAAGCAUAAGCUAAAAUCAAUCAUCAAUCAAUAAAUAACCCUAUGAAUUUUGAUGAUAAACAAGUUUAAUUUUAUUAUAAUGAAACGGUGAGACAUGAGGAAUAAGAUGGAUUGUUCCUCGUCAAGACGUUGAGUCGGAUCAUGUCGUACAGUUUUGUUGUUUUGUUUUUUUAAUUUAAUGAAACGGUGAGUUUGUAAAUGGGGGUUUAAGAUUUUAAUAUUAUUUCUAAAAACAACAUAUUCAUCUAUUAUUUGCAUACAUCCCUUUUGCCCUCCUCUUACGAAAAGAUGCAAACCUGAAUUAUUUUUGUAUGUUCUUUCUAUAUUUUAAAUUUUUUUAGCGGUUACCCUACUCUUUGCCUCCCACUAAGUUGUAUUGCAAAGUUUUUUUAUUCUCUCUAUUAAACUGAAUGGGUCUUUCAAUUUUGUAAAAAUUACUUCAAUUAAUCACGCAAUGAGUUCAACAUUUUUUCCCAUACAUAUAUGAAAGGCACUCCUUCACAUAGAACCCUGACUCUACCACAGUGAGAGGACCAGAAAGAAGAGAAAUUUGAAAAUAAGAGAAUCCUACUCUCCAUAAAAGAUUAAAACUUGCAUAAAAUACUUGAUUACUUGCAAUAAAAGAAAUCUCAUAAUUAAUAGGUAACAUUUCAUUUUCUAAUAAUAAUUGAGAGGAUAAUAUCCCAGUAUCCCAGAUUUGAAGCUGAUGACGAAAUGAGUGGUAAUAUUGUAAUUAAGUGCAACGACAAACCCAUUUAAUUAUGAGAUUUAAAACGGGAGAGAAACAUUCCCGUUAACAAUGGCACAUGCUAGAAGCCAGGAGCCUUUGACUGACGACACGUCGUAUUGAAACGCCGAGGAAUUUAAUUCAAACUUCGUUGCUCAAAAGAUGCUCGGAUUUAAACGUGGGCUGUUGGAUUCCUUUCCUCGAGAUGACCUACUCCGCAUCGGACGGAUGCUGUUGGUCGGCGAAUUUAAAAGGGGCGCAUGGCGUGGGUCCCGCCCAGAGAAUCGUGUGGUUUAAAUUUUGGGUAUCUUUUCUCAAUUCGUGGGCCCCGAUUAGAUUGCAGAUUGCCGUGAUUGGUCACUAACCUAUGGCCCAAAAAAAGCCCAACCUGAAAAGGAUCAUAUCAUGAGUUAUUUUUAUUCAGCUAAAAAGUUCUUUAAUUCUUUUCUUUAUCAAUAAAUCUACACUUUUAGGCCUUUUAGUUUAAGAUAAUUUUCACUUUGAAUCAUGUAAUUUAUAUUUUAGAAAAUUUUAGACAUGCAUUUUGUGUACUAUUGUAAUUUUGAGUUGCUAAUCUCAUUAGAAUUGACGAUGAAAUAUGAUAUUGCAGUACAAACAUGUUUCAUAUGUUAAAUUUGAAGACAAAUGCUUUCCAAAUCAAUUCGAGAAAGGAUUUUGAGCAUUUGAACUAAAUAUCGUUUUUAUGGCACGUUUUUCAAAAUCAACGCACUUAAAAUCUCAACAAAGUACAAUAUAAGUAACAAAAAUGAUCCUUCCAUUUUCAAUCCUCAAACAAAAAACUUAGGAAUCGAUUUUUAUCAAUUUUCAUUUCUGCGUACCAAACAUAGUGUGUUUUUAAGUUUCGAGACAAAAAUGAGAUAAGAGCAAUUUUAAGUAUGGAUAGGAAUACACGUUUGUGUUACUUGUGGUAUUUUUGGGGUCGGAAGUGAGUGAGACGUAGGGCAUGUCGCAUGCUUAAUAAUCCUCGAUGUUUUGAGCCCCAUGCAGGGGUAGGGGCACGUGGUUGUCACAUUAAAAAAAAUUUAUGUUUGGUAAAGAUUCAAUUUCAGUUUUUUUUCACAAUUUUUGGUGAAAAAAAAGCCAAAAACAAGAAGCUGCAAAAUCCAGCUUUAAAAAACCGGCUUUUUUCACAUCUGUUUUACAUAAAAGUUUACCAAACACAAUAAUACUGUUUUUUUUUUCAAAAGCAUUUUUAUAAAAAAGUUUACCAAACCCUCUACAGCUUUAUUUCACAGCCGCUUAUUCUUACAGCACAGCAGAAACAGUUUUUUUUCAAAGCAGAGCAAUACCAAACUAGUCAUAAGUGUGGAAUUUUUGGUGAUGAUCCGAGCAAUCAGUGCCAAAGACAUAAACAAGACAAUGAUCAGGUCCUAUCGUCCUCAACACAAAUAAUGCAUUUCUGGCUGCAGGGAAUAAGAACAAUAAUUGCAUGGUGGUGGGCAUCACCACAUAAUUGCAAGGGAGAAGUUAGCCACCUUUUCAAUCCAAUAUUCUUGUCUUACUUUUUCGGUUAUCUUUUUUUGAUGAUACAAGUUGAUUAAAAUCAUCACUUUUUGGAUCAUCCUUAACAACCAAAUUAUGAAUCUUUUAACGCACAAUUAACAUUGUAAAACAUGGUUGUCUAUGAUUAGAUGAAUGUUAGAUGACUAAAAAAUUUCGGAUUUGGUUGAUUUUGACAAGUUGAUCUUUAAAGAGUGAUCAUCGUGCAACAUUACGGAUUGAGAAAUAGAGCCGAGAAUCUAGAACGACAAGGUUCAAACGAGAUGGUUGCUCCUCUAAUUGCAAUAUUUGAUAUUUCUGUCCAUUUUCCUGAUAGGCAACUCAAUCAGUGUAAGGCGAACGUAAACUCAAGUACUUAAAAAGCAAUUAUUCGCUCCUGUCGCAGUAGGUUUGUGUCAAAAACUGUCGCAGGCAAUUAGAUUCAUGCAUAAAUGAUGAGCUCAUAAACAAUAUUUUGUUUCUGUUGGGCAACUUUUUACUAACUAGAAGCAACAGUUACAGGAAGGUGAACCUCUCCUAACCAGAAAAACAAAAUGAUCCAUUUGAUUAGACUCGCUCGGACUAAACAAAAUCAUCCGUUUCAUCCUAGGACUUUCGAAGGUUCUUUGUCGGAAGAACUGUAACGCUGUCAGUUGGUUCUUCAGGAAAAGCGUCCAGCAACUCAAUUCGCCAUGGGUGAACCACUGCUCCAACACCUCUCAACCCCGAAGAGGCACUGCAUCCAUAUUAAAGCCCUGAAAUUGAGGAGCCUCCGGUGGAAAAUGGAUGAGGCUAUAUGGAGAGAGGAGAAUGGCGAGCAUGAAAACGGUCACACCACAAUAGCCAUCACAGAGUGGAGAAGAAGGGCAAGGUAGCGAGGAGUGUGAUCAUGUAGAACAUUAUUCCUUUCACUACAAAGAUACCAAUUGAUGAAUCGGAACCAACAAAGCUCCUGCCCUGACAAGACAUGCCGCAGCUGCUUCCAUAAAUCCAUACCAGCACCUCAACACCUUUGGGAAGUGCAUCAGUAAAAGCCGUCGUCUCCUACUUGUCCAAACCAUACUGCAUGCCAACGGUUCAGAACUUACCCCACAUCUGAAGCAUGAGGCUGAGUUCCCCACCCAGUGCUUGGAAACAGAAUGCAGGAACGCAGAAGGGCAUGUCAUAAACAAAAUAAUCAAAUCCUUGUACCUUGGAACUUCCCAUUUACAAGAGUAUCAUAUGUAUUGUCAUCUGGAACAAGGCCUUUGUCAAGCAUUUCAUCAUGCAACCUAAAAGCCUCUUGCAAAUUACCCUCCUUGAAGUUUCCAGCAAUCAGAGUAUUAUAAAUGAACACUAGGAGUCAUACCCCGCCUAUCCAUGUCUUCCAAGUUCUUGCGUGCACUCUCUAGCUGUCCUUUGUUAUGAAGGGCAUUUAUCAGAACCGUAUAUGUGUUUGUAUCAGGUAUAAUUCCCUUCUGAAGCAUCUCUGAGUAGAGAUCUGUAGCAGAUUGUAACUCACCUUCUCUUAGCAAUCCAUCGAUUAACGUAGUGUAUGCCUUCAAAUCACAAGGAAUACCGUCUCUAAUCAUCUUGUUGUGCAUGUCAAGGGCUGCUUCCAUGUUAUUUAAAUUCCGGAAGCCAGAUAUCAUGCUACUGUAAACAACUACAUUUGGAGAUAAACCAACUUCAAGGAGUUCUGAGAAAAGUUCAUGGGCAGUUCUCAUGUCUCGUCUUUUGCAAAACCCAUCAAUGAGAGCAGAAUAUGCAGUAACAUCCACUUCGAUGCCCUUGUUUUUCAUCUCAUUCCACAUUUUCAAAGCCAUAUCAAUUUGAUUGCUUUUGCAAAACCCAUUAAUAAUGCUGGUGUAAGUGACAACAUUGGGGGAGACUUCACCUUCACACAUUUCUCUGUACACAGCCAGUGCAGAAUUAAUGUCACCCUCCUUGAUAUACCCAUCGAUAAUGCUAUUGUAACUAAUACAUCCAGGAACAAAACCCCUUGCAACAAUUUUCUUUAGCAUCUCACUUGCCUCAGACGUACGACCAGCUCUGCACAAGCCAUCAAUGACAAUGCCAACUGUGAAGCCUGUGGGAGAAAUCUUGGCAGCCACCAUAUCAUCAAAGACAUCAAAGGCACGCUCUACAUCACUGUUCUUGAAGUAGCCAUUUAUCAAGAUAGAAUAAGUCACAUCAUUUGGUUUCAAAUCCCUUUUAAGCAUCUCCACGAAUACAUCAUGCGCAUGCUCCAUAUUCCCUAUUCUGCAAUACCCAUGUAUCUUGCUAUUGUAGGAUACAACAUUAGGUACCACACCUUUAGACAUCAUUUUAUCCCAUAAACUACAAGCUUCACUUACUUUACCCUUCCCACAAAGCCAUGAUAAGAUAUUAUUAUACGAGAAAACAUUAGCAACACCACACUCAACGGCCUCAUCAAAAAACUUAGAAGCAUCUUCAAAUGACCGAUAUUUCAAAAAUCCUCGUAUCAAAUAAUUUACAAUGAAGACAUCAGGCAAAAUAUUCAUAUGUUUCAUUUGCUUGUAAAGCUCAUACGCCUUUUCCAUGUUCCCAUUCUUACAGCAGUAUUCUAUAAGAAUUGCAUAUGUAACCCUGUUUGGAGUAAGUCCAUCCUCUAUAAUCGUAUUGAACAAAGCCAAAGCACUCUCCAAAUUCCCUUGCACACAAUAACCCUUCAUCAAGCUUGUAGCAACAACCAAAUUAAUUGGGUUCCCACAACUUACCAUUCCAUCCUUAAUCCUCGUGGCUUCAACCAUAUUCCUCUGCUUUACACAAGCUGCGAUGACACUACUAAAUGUGACCAUGGAAGGAACCCAACCCAUUUUUCUCAUUUCAUUCAACAACUCCAGAGCCAAACACGAAUUGGGCUUCUUACAAAAAGCCUCAAUGGCAACACUAUAGGAUGCUGCAUCAAGUUCUACCCCUCUUGCCCUCGCCUCUCUAAAGUACUCCUCUGCCUCAUCCGGCUUCCCCUGCUUCAAACAACCACGCAUCAUCACGUGUAGAGUGACACGAUCACCUCCAAAUCCUCUCAAAGCCAUUUUAUCACACACCUCUCGUGCUUCCCCAAUCAUAUUUCUCCUAACCAAUUCUGUUAAAAGAAUAUUCACAUACGUAACACAAGGAUACAUCUCAUGCUCUAGCAUUCUAUUAAAGCAAUCAAUCGCACAUUCGAUUCGAUUGGCUCUAACAUAACUGUUCAAUAAAUAGCCAAAAACCUGAGAUUCUAGUUCAAAAUCAAACCUUUUGGCGCAGUCCACCAAGUGAUCGACAAAUACUCCUGGAACCGGGCCCGAAUCACCGGAAACGUACUGGUUAAGCAACAUCUUAGCACGCUCGUGAGUAUUCGGAGAGCCCAUCAAAAUGUGAAGCAACACACAGACAGCAUCGACACCUCUGACAAGGCCUCGCUCCCUCUCAGCCCAUUUGAAGUAUUUAAUUGCCGAAUAUGGCUUACUUUUGUGGCUAAGAAGAGUGCUAAUCACACUGGUUUGUGUUAAUUCGGAGUCUUGUGAAAUUGGGGCGGCGAACUCGCCCUGAUUGGGGUCUGAUGCAACUGGGUUUUCGUGAAAUUCGAUUUCUAAAGUGGGUUUCUCUGGAAAAUCAGAUUUUGGAGCGAUUUCCUCUGGAAAACCUGAGCUCGGAUUGGGAUUCUCGGAAAAUGGUGGCGAUUCUGAACGGGGUUUGGAAGAGAGGAAUUUAGGGUUUAAGAAAGGAAGGCGACGUAGUGGAGGAAGUGGUGAGGAAUUGAGGGGCUUCAUUGUUUUAGGGUUUUUGCUGCAGAAGAAGAAAUAGCAGAAACCCUAAUGGAGAUUAAAGGUUUCGGCUCGGCGGCGAGAGUGAUGAAGUGAGGAAGGGGACGACAACAGAAGCUGCGGCGCGAGCUUUGGCCAUUUUACGAUUUACCCCUUUGAGUUAAAAUUCAAAAGCCAAAUACAUAUCAAGGAUUUUAAUUUUUUUUUUUGGGCAAAUCAGAAAAAUGGUGCUUGCUUUAUAAAAACAUUACCACUUGAUUAUUUGUAUGUGUGUGAAUGUGUUAGGUUGGAUUUUCGGAAGCUGGGAGUUGAAUACCACAUGCAUAUGGUGGGCAAAUUAUGUGACAUAAAAAUACUACUAUAUUCGAUGGGAAAUAAUUAAAACUUGGUGUUAAUGGACGGAAACACUAACUCGACGGUCUUAUUUAAUUCACAUUUGCAUUGCUUCUUGACUCAUCUAUUUUGUUUACCAAAUAAUAGAGUGUUUCUUCUUAUUCAGCGCUUUUAAGUUCAUUUUGUAAGAGACUUGUAGCUCAAGUGGUUAAGAGUAUCGAAUUUAAAACUCAUUUUUUUUAUAGAAGAGAAAAUCAAACCUCGAGAGUGUGCAGAGGCAAAUGCUUUAAACCGCUACUCCUACAAGCCUGCUGCACUAGUAGUCUAUUUUUAAGAUUAAAUUUGCUACUCCGUAUAGCUUCUUUUACCAACCGAGACAUCAGUUGAAUACGAUAAGUAUCGACAGUGUACUUAGUUCAAGAACUUGAAUCCAUGAGGCCAAAGACACGAGAUUUUGCCACAUCUUCGGAAUAUAUCCCUGUAUGAGUGUCUCACUCGUCACGUAAUUUGGCUAUGCGAAAAAGACUAGAGAUCCAUCUCCAAUGAACCUAAAAGCAAUAACAAACCAGAUGUACACUAAUUUUUUUUUAUCCGAGAACUUGAUUAACUGUUCUGUAUCGGUCUUCAAUGACCAUGUUCUAAAACAAUUAGCAAUUCACGACGGUACGAAGAACUUAAAGAGUCCUGGCCUACAUCAUCGAUGAAGAAAUUUUUAAUCCCAAUAGCCUACUCGACGAGAAAAUAGGUUGCUAAGAAUUUACAUUUGAAAUUAAUAGUUCAAUUUCCUGAAUGGAUGGUAAAUCAAGCCUCAUCAGUCAUCAACAUCGCUUCCACCAAUCUGAGCUUCGAGAGCAAUCGAGUAGUUGCUUCCAUCAGGACCGAGAAUCUGAAAUCUGCUAAAGAACAAAGAAAAUCACUCUAAAAACUUUUAAUGCAGCAACCACAGACACCAAUUUGGUUUUACCUCUCAAGGAUAAACUUUCCUUCCUUGUACUUCUGGGAUUUCUCAUGUGCAGCCUCCUGAAAUUGAUAACCAAAAUAUGAGUUUCAUACAGCCAUCAGCGGUGAAAGUACUGUAAAUAUCCACACAAAAAACAUAGUUUUGGAGAAAAUAUCUUCUUACAUAUUUCCACCCCACAUUUGAGCCACAUGAAACACAAAAUAUGUCAGCUACAGUAUGCAAUCCUGUUAUCAUGAUCCGCUCUUCUUGCUCUCCAAGUGUGACAUUUACACUGCCAUUGGGGAAACAAAAGGUUAAUUCAGCAUUCAUGUGUAUAAGCUGCAGUUGGUGUGAGUUAUGCAUAAGCCGCCUUCAUAGGAUUCAAGUGAACGAAAAUGCUUUUUUGAGACAAAGACAUUAUGCUGUCAUCGAUUCAUUAUUCUCUUUCUUUUUCCACCCUCAAAGUUAAGCUUUCAAAUUUAUCAACAUAAAUGAAUCUUCUGGCCAAUGUCAAACCAUGUUUGGUUUGCUGCUAUAAGUCAUUCUGUAUCGGUGGACAAGAAAAAAUACGUGCACAUGGAAUGAGCAAGUUUUUUGUCACAAGUGAGACCAAAAUAACUUGCACACCCAUGACCCUAAAAGUACAUAAGCAUGCAUCAGCAUAGCUAUGGGUGAAUCAAUUUCAAAUUUUCAAGAGUAAAAUAGUACUGCACUUACACUUUAUCGAAAAGAUAAGCCUUUCCAUGCCUGCAGUGAAAAGACUGGAACAAAAACAAAAGCAAAUCACAGGGUUAGAAUGUCACUAAUCAAUCCUGAUAUCAAACAUAUAACAUCAUAAAAGAGGGAUUAAUGUACAUAAGCAUCAAGCAAGAAGUGGGAAGAUAUGAUCGAAAAAGACAAGCCAAGAAAAACCUUGCUGCUCUCAGAUGGGUAAUGUAAUCAGGACAGUAUAAAGAUAGCUUUUUUGAGAAGAGGACAGUAUAAAGAUAGCUUUGCGGCAUAAGUUUUACACCGAUACAAUAUUUACAGGGAUAUUCAAGCUACUUACAAUUAACCAGAAUUUAAGAGGUGUUAUAGUGCGCAAAUAAAUAAUUAAAGAGCUACCAAACUGCAUCGCUUUUGUUUCCAUAUAGUUGACGUUCAAACCAACAAUAACGCAAGUAAGCCGGACAACAUUUUGGCCUAUAAUUAGAGUCUUAGAGAACAGAGACGCAAGUUCCCAUCUAAUCUUGCAGCCAAAUUUAACUAUUAAACCAGGAAAGUGUAAAGUAGAUAUCUUUGACCUAAUCUUAGCAGGAAUUAAGUACCUAAUUCUUCUCCAGCAAGUAAAGCAUUAAUCUGUGCUCCAGCAAGUAAAGCCAUAAUCUGUGUUUCUAGAAUUGCAUGAUUAAAUCCAAUACCAUCAUAGAGGCUUUACAGAUAAAGGUUCUAAAUUUUGAGCAUUUUGUAAUGAGCCAUAAACACAAUUAGGAAAUGAAACGCGCAAGCCAUUUCACAAGAAGCCAAAGCUGAUUGUAAUGAGCCAUAAACACAAUUAGGAAAUGAAACCCUGCACCACUAAUAAAAGAAGGAACCGAGAAACAACCCAAUGUUUAAGCUUCCAAUGUCAACCACUUUGAACAUGAACGAUCGCAUUGCACUACGGUAUAACGGUACCACAACUCCUCAAUAUCACAAACAAAACACUCCAAAAAAAAAAAAAAAAAAAACCUAAAACCAACAAUGUACAUAUCACAACUCCUCAACAUCCAACGAUUAGACCCACACAAAUUACAUUCAUACGCCUAAUACCGAUCAAUCUCUCUUCGAAAAUCGCCACACAUUUACAUAUCACAACAAUGCAUCCCAAUUUCACAAAGUUCAUGAAUGUCUAGGUAGAGUGCAUUAUGCAAAUAAACAGUAACAAUCCAUAACAAACAGAAUUACGGAGAAGGCGAUUUCGGACCUUAGAGAUUACGUCGUCCACAAGACCGAGAUGGGUUCUGCAGUGCUUGCAGCUAUACAUGUUUUCCUCAAGAGUGGUCACAAACAGCCUUCCCAUUUUCUCACGUACAAUUCAACUUUCUUGAUUUCUUGAUUUUCUUUCCCUGCAAAAACAACAAGAUCGGCCUCCAUGUUAGAAAUUCAAGCAUUCCAAACGAAACCCAGAAAUUAUCUCGACGAAAAUUUGAGAAAAAUCAAUGUGACUAAAACCUCAAAAUUUCAGGGAAAAAUAACGAAAAAAAGAAAGAAGAAAUGGUGUACAAUGCAGGCAUGUAUUUCCAAUAACCGUGUAAUAUGAAGGACAAGAAGAAGAACAGAACGACGACGUACAAAUGGGUUUUUGUGUGAUCUUUGCCGGUAGUUACAGAGGGAGCUGAACAGAAACGAAAGCUUUCAUUGAGAUUUGAGAAGAAGAGAAGUGAUAGCUUUUAAACAGAGAAAGUGCUUUUCCGAGUGUAAAUAUAUAAUAAGACAAUUAACUUUUUUCAUUAUCUCAUUUUUAUUUCUUUUAUCUUUUUUAAGUAAAAUAAUUUGUCUUUAAAUUAUAGAAAUGUAAUUUAAAAAAAAAAAUUAGAAUGAAUCUGAUAACUUCAAUGAAAAAAAUGUAGAUUUUAAAGAAAAGAUUAAUACCAGGAAAAUCUAUGUGUUGGGUGGGUUUUCGAAGGUCAUGUUUUGGUAUGUUGGGUUGUUUAUCGCUAAUCUCUCAUCCCUCGUUAGAGUUAGCAAAAUAAAUUAUACGUAUUUUUUUAAACAGACGAUAUUAUUUACACUGGACGGUAAAAAGGUGGGUUUAGCCUCACAAUAGCUACCAAUAGUGCUGUUCAAAUUCGUUUAUAUUUAAAAGUUAGUAUCAUUCUAUCACUUAGUACUACGGUCUGGUGGUACUUCUCUUUACUUGAAAGUGAAAGGUCUUAUGUUCGAAUCUCGUGGAUAGCGAAUUCGAUACCAAAUUAGGCUGUCCAUUGUGUGGCUUUGCCAAACUUCCCCUCCCCUUAAUGUAAAAAUAUCGAUGUACUCAAACAAAAAAAAGUUAGUAUCCUUCUUUAAUUUGAUAUGUUAAUCUAGAAACUGUUAAUUAAUAGUCUUUGCAUCACUAUCGAAUAAUGUUAAAUUCUCGGAUUAAGCAUUAAAUUCUCUAAGAAGAAUGAAUUUUCAUUUCUCUAUUGUGUGAACCGAUGACUCAUAGGAUUAAAAAGACAAUAUAUUUCAUUAUUAUUCUUUGUACAAACGAGAUUCAAACUCAAGCGUUAGGAGAUCACUCCGCUCGCUAACGUGACUACGUUCAUAUGCAUCACGUUAUUAUUAUUAUUUUUCUGAAAUAAAUAAAGUUUGCACAUGUUUAAAACUUUUCAAAAGAAAAAAGAGGAAGAAUUAUCAUGGCCUAUUGUUUGGUAAAACAACUCGUCGCCAAUAGGAAAAGGCGACGGUAGAAAGGGGUUGGAGAAAGAGUGCGAGGAGGAAAAAGCCAUUGUUUAGACCAUCUCCAAUCCUUGGGCUAAAAACCAAAUUUUUUAGCCCGGAAAAUUUAGCUUGUAGCCCAGAAACAUAUUUUCUGCUUCAACCCUUCUACCCUAAAAUUUUAGCCCGGAAUUAUUAAAGAAUAAAAUUAGCCUAAAAUUUUUUCUUAAAUCAAUUUUAAAAAAAUAAAUAAAUAUGUAGAUUAUUGUAAAUUAAUUUUAUGAACAUUUUAAUCUAAAAAAAUUUAAAUUCCGAUAAACAUUUUGCAUUUAGCCCGGGGGGAAAGCUGGGGGGUAUUUGGCCCAGAAAUAGCAUUUGGCAUUUAGCCUAAAAUUUUAGCAUGGGUUGAAGAGUGUUUGGGAGGUAAUUUGGCUUUUAACCCAGGGUUAGAGAUGGUCUUAGCGAGACAUGCCAUGAAACCCAAUGAGACUCUGAUUUGGCUGGAGAACGUAGAGAAGAUACAAUUCACCAAAAUCCCUUUCCCAAGAAGGUGCCAAAGGACACGAAAGAAACGUUUCACUUGGUGUGACUAGACCGAGGCAGAAAAAGCCAACCCAAUCCAACUAGACAUGGUUCUCAAGAGUCUAACGCCUAAACAUCUAGGCGGGCUUUAGGCGGGCGUAGGCGAUUAUUUUAAUUGUAAUUAAAUAUAUUACAUAGCAUAUAAAAAUAUUUAUUUAUACUUAAAAAAACAUAUAAUUGUCUCGCAAUACAUAAAAUGUAAAGUAGAGAUUAUCUAUUUUUUAUCUAUGUAAGAGUUGCAACAUAGGCGGCCUACGCCCAUUCUUAGAUUUUAAAUGCAUAAAGAUUAAUCCUGAUGGUGACAACCGCCUAGCGCCUAGGUGAGGCCUAAGCGGGGCUUUUUAUUUAGAAUGCUAGACAUGCAACUUUUUUCUUUCCCCUUUGUUUUCCUCUUUUGACAAGAAAAUCUAUACCAUCACCAGUUUUAUGCAGCCAUGUGUUUACUUUUGUUAUCACGCGACUAUUCACGCUGUGAUGAGAGAUAGAUACGUAAUUGCUCUUAGAACUUGGUGAUCCCACAUCAUAUAACGUACCUUAAUUCUUGAAGUGGUUUAAAGAGCUCUUGGUCACCUUUCCCUUACAAGUAGAUUUUUAGGGGCAAGUUUCUACUCUUAGUAAUUGGUACCAGAGCUAGUUUCACCACGCAACUGGAUCCAACUCCAGGGAAGGGACAAGCCGCCUCUACGAAGGGCUACCGCUAGGUCAGGGUACAAAGCAAAACUUCCCCAGCCUCUAAAUGAAAUCAAACCAGUUGACAAAAAACUAAGUUUUUCUUGAAACUAAGUUUUUGUUGAAUCAAUAAUCUAGAGACUGUUAAAUUGACCAGUGGACGAGAUAUAGCACAAGAAAAUAACUUGAUAGAGAACGAAACAAGAGCUAAGACAAAGGAACUUGAUGAGCUGAUGGCUAAACCUCGAGGAGGGCCGGAAGUUCAAACGACCUUACUUGAUCUUCCUUGACUAAUAAUAUUCCAAUAAAAGGCUGCUGCCAUGGCAAAUGGUCAAAAUAUAAGAACUCCAGAAAGAAAAAAGUAUAUGUUCUCCCGUUCAAAAGUGGGGAUCAGCAAGUGUGUCCAACUAUGACGAUGAAAUCGUGUCUUGCGGUGUUAUUCUCUCAACAGCACCCAUUCUCUGAGGAGGCCACACAAUGUGGGUAACCCUUCCUUGAACUAAACCCAGAGGAAUCUGCCAACAACAGCUUGUUUAACUUAGCCAAAGUGUCCAAAAAGUAGAAGAAAGCCAACAUGUUCAUAGGUAACUUCUGAAAGAAAUUCCUAAAAUAUGUCAAGCACUACACUUAGCAUUACAAAAACAUCUAGCAUAACCUCGGGUUGCAAACUUCUUCCAAAAUGAUAAGUCUUGUGCUAAUGCCAAACUAAUUAUAUAUACAGCAAUUCAAAUUUAUCGUGUCCUGAAAUAACAUACUGUCUCAUUUAAGCGAUUUCCAUCCUACUCCGCAUUUCAAAAAAUUUUAGAGUAUGCAUAAACAAGCAGAGUGAUUUGCCAUAAAUAUACAGAAGUAAGUUCAGAUACCUAGUCAGAGAAUGGUUUCCACAUCUUUAGGCACCAAAUCAAUAUAAUUAAGGCCACGAUGAUAAAUUAUACUAUCGUUAAACUAAUUGUUUUUAGUGCACAAACUUAGCAGUAAGGGGAACUUACUGGUCCAAACGACUUUGAAUCCAAGCUAGAAGAUGAAUUGUCUCCCUCAACCCAACAAUGUCCUUCUGGAAUUUUCACCACGUCAUAGGAACGACGCGUUCCAAUCCACUCACCAGGUAAGGCAGUUAUUCUCUUUAUGUGACUCUCCUUGUGGUUACUUGGGGAGCUGCAAAAUGUUCCAACAAGUCUAGUUUCUUAUUACAAUUAACCAGACAGGCAGACACAAAUGGUAUUCGAGCAGCAUUGGGGGCAAAAAUUACCGGAAAACUACCACGUCACCAUGUGAAAACUUGUAGCUUUGAAGACACCGUUUCUCCACCAAAACAUAGUCAUCUGCAACCAAAUCACAAUCAGAGCACUAAAUAAAGCAUCACAUUGCACAGCACAACAAUCUUAACAAGAUAUCUUUCAAUAUACCAACCAAUUGGCAAGCCCAUCAAAGAAGUAGUUCCAGGGUUUAACGUAGGCGACAUAGAGGAACCGCGCACCGGAGCAACACUCGCAAAUCGGUCUGAAACAUAUAAGCCUAUGAUCCCACAUGUGAAAAACUUGUUGCCGAAAUUCCACAAACCACUCCGAGUUCCCAUGGUCAAUCUUUUUCCGUAAAUAUUCACAUUUCAUGUGCAAAAUGCAACCAUCUGUAACAUUAUCAUCAAAUUUACCAAACAUAAAAGACAGUUCAUAACUAACGCAAAAGAUUUAUACAAGCAAAAACAGUAUCAGGUCUCUCAGAGGCAAACAAUCAAACACCUGGUGAGCCCAAUGGACGAGAGGGAAAGGAGAAGGUUACCAUUAGGAAUGUUUCAAAUUAGCUGUCGAAGCAGCUUCCUUCGCCGGCGGGAGUCUUCGUUAAUGGAGAUGAGGCGGGAGGAGGUAGGUCGUGUACUGCCGCCGUCGUGGACUCGUGAUUUGGAGGAGAAGCAAAGUCUGGACUAUUUUUCGGAUUUUGAGCUAACAGAUGCUUUUUGCUCAAGGGAUUUGAAUUUUACCGGAUUUGGGCCGUUUGAAGUUGCAAAAGUGGGAAUUCUAAGCCCAAUCCAAUCGAAGAGUUAAGACUACCGAAGGAGGGGAGUUGAAUUUAUACCGGUUGCAGUGGUAAAUACUCUUUGUGAUUUUUGCUACAAGACCUUGUAGAACUCUAUAUUGUUUUUACGCGAAAAAAAUGACUCCAAUUAAGUUGAUUAUUGUAGUUUCGAUCUUUUUUUUUUAAGAAAAACGACAUUUUAUAAGGAGUGAGAUUCUUAUUCGUCGCCAAAUUAAUAAGUUGUGUUAUUAUGGUUGAAUCUCGAACUUGAUAUGCUAUGUUUUCUUUUCUUCAAUUGGGUCCUUAGGGUUUUGAAAUUUUCAAUUUUCAAUUAGAUAAUUGUAAUUAGAUUUUAUUCACCCACAAGAACAUCUUAAAUAGUCGAUCAAGGCUAAAAGAAAAUUGGUGAAUGCAAUAUGUUUAUUUUCAAUCAAGUUUCUAAAGUGAAAAAAAGGUCAACUUUUUCUGCCUUAAAAAGGGAUUAGCUGAUGACUUCAUGACUUCAACACGUGAGUCCAUCAUAUCGAAGGUCGGGAAGACUCAUAAAGGUAUUUCAACCUUCCCUAACCACCAUCAUGUGAUUCAUCAAUGCCAUAAUUGAAUUCAGAACGUGUCAUAUAAAAUACGGGCCUAGAAUUCAUCCCCAACCACUGAGUCAUCUCGUGGUGGUUAAAAAAUAUACUUAUUAACUCGAAAUAAAUUGUUUUACGUCUAAAGCAAGCAUCGUAAUAUAUCAACCAUGUAGUCAUUUAGCAAGUAGGAAAAGCUCACAUGCCAUUGCAUACACUAAUCCUUUGAUCCCAUCACAAUCUUUACAAGCUUAAGCAGUACAUAUCAUGAUUCAGAUAAUUAAUCAUGGUCUACUGAUUAAAAAACCAAACAUGAUAUGCACAUAAAGAUACUUCUCUAAGAAGAGAAGGCGUCAAUAAUGGUGGUGUGGAGCGGGUCACUCAAAUGGGUAGCCCAGUUGUUAAGUGGUCCCUUCCCGGUGACGGCGGCUUGCACGGCAAACCCCAGAAACGCAACCAUGGCGAGGCGGGCGUGCUUGAUUUCGGCCAGCUGAAGAGUGGCCUUCUUUUCCGGGUCAGCAGCAAGGCCCAACGGGUCGAAGAACUUGCCACCCGGGUACAACCUCUUUUCCGGGUCGAGCUCGGCGUUCCUCUGGAACUCGAUGUAGCCAAUCACUAGAACUUCGAUCCAGAUCAACGUGGUUAGUGAGAAAGGGAGUGGUUGACCCAAGUAGGACGACCCUUCGAUGAGCUCCACC
rnacentral:lncRNA from 1 species